rnacentral:lncRNA from 1 species
ACUUGCCGCUCAUUGAGUUUGCCUAUAAUAAUAGCUACCAUUCUAGUAUCCAGAUGGCACCGUACGAGGCCUUAUAUGGGAGGAAGUGCAGGUCACCUAUUGGUUGGUUUGAUGUUGGUGAGAUUAAUUUAAUAGGCCCGGAUAUGCUUCAGCAAGCUGUUGACAAGGUGAAGCUUAUUCAAGAAAGAUAAUUAGCAGCCCAGAGUCGACAGAAGUCAUAUGCAUAUAAUCGGCUUUGAGAUUUGGAGUUUCAGAUUGGUGACUGGGUAUUCCUGAAGGUAUCACCCAUGAGGGGUGUGAUGAGAUUUGGCAAGAAGGGGAAGCUUAGUCCGAGAUACAUUGGGCCUUAUCAGAUUGUUUGUAGGAUAGGCAAGGUUGCGUAUGAGUUUGAUCUACUAUCUUAUUUGGAGAAGGUACAUCCAGUCUUCCAUGUAUCGAUACGAUGUAAAUGAAUUGGUGAUCCUUCUAGAGUAUUCCUUGUAGAUAAUGUUCAGGUAACAGAGUAGUUGUCAUAUGAGGAGAAACCCGUAGUUAUACUUGAUCACAAGGUUAGAAGGUUACGUACUAAGGAUGUGGCUUCCGUCAAAGUUUUGUGGCAAAAUAAUUAUAGGGAGGAGAGGACUUGGGAAGUGGAAGAAGAAAUGAAGAACAAGUAUCAUCACUUGUUCCCCGUACCUGCAGGUAAUUCAAUCCUAGCAUGACUAUAUUGAUUGAUAAAUGAGAUUAUGUAGUAAGUUGUAACUCUAUGAGGCAUCAGUGAGUUACGGAAUGCAGGUUCAUAGGUAUAACUGUUAGAGAGACCCCGUUGGAACCUUUUUUCGUAAGAUGCUAACUUAACAUUCGAGGAUGAAUGUUCGUAAGGGGGGAAGUAUGUUAUGCCUCAUAUUUUUAUACGUAGUGCGCGUCAUGAACUAGUAGAUGUAUGUUCGGGGAAUGAAAUUUUAGUUUAAGUUCCAAGUGAUUAAAGAAAUAUUAGGCAAGGAUGUUAAUUCCAAAUGUGUUGUUAAGUAUGAUUUUGUUAAUUUAAGUGACAUUAACUUUAAUUGAGGGAUUAAUUAGUGGCUGAUUAGGAUUAAAUUAAUCUAGUGCGACCCACCACUCAAGGCAAAUAAAAAAGGGAUCAUAUUGGGAGCUGGCCUUAAUGGGAUACGUGUAGAGGGGGGCUGCCUCCACUUCAUAUUAUAAAUGAGGUGUGAAAUGCAUUGCAACAUAUCAUAUUCUUCACCUCUUGGCUUAGGCAGCCAUGGAAAUGGAGAAAACCAACCAUGCAAUUCUUGGCCAGCAGCUGCAAAGAAUUUGGUUAGUAAUCUCUUUGCUUGGUUUGUUAAUUCCUUAGAAGGCCUUUGUUCAUUAGCCACUAAUGAUUUGAAGGGGGCGUAAAUAGUAGCUUCGGAAGUUUUUUUUAGUUAUUUAAUGUGCUAAGUAUGAACGGAAACCAUAAUCGGAUUAUUAGUGGUGUCGUGUUGGUGCUUGGGCUGUUUUGAUUAAAGCAAACUGCGGGAAAAUUUUGUUUUGGCGAUAUGUAUAAGUUAAAUGUGAUUAUGGGUAUAUACUCCAAAGGAUGAAUAUGAUAAGGUAGAUGUGUUGCAAAUUAUUAAACGAGUUACCGAUCGGUGUGUCGUUGCUUCGUUACUAUGGUUGCCAAGACAGAACUAUUUUGGGGGAGGGGGCUGUUUAAUAUGAUUCGUUGGGUUAUAUGUGUUAUUGGUAUUGCUGUGGAUAAUUUGGGUUGUUGUCGGAUUGGGACGAAGUAAGGAAAAUAGGGGAAGUGCUGCCGGAUUUUUGUUAGAUUAUUGGCUAGAUUACAAUAAGUAGUUAAGCGUGUCGUUUAUCUAAUUGCGGCACGAUUGUUCCUUGUUAUUGAUUAAUAGCUUGAGCAGUAAAUAUUUGACGUGCGGCUCGACUAUACGAUAUGUAACGCUACCCCUUCUUUCUUUGUUUGGCAUGACUUUUAAAAAUGAGCGAAUAACGGACAGGUUUUAUACUUACUUCUAGAGCGACUAUGUGACGUAUAUUCAUGCUUCCACAGCUAUUCCUCUAUAUAUCGGCUAUGUCUAAGUCUUAAUGAAUUCUCAUAUCUAUUGUAGUACUUCUUAGAAUCAUUGAGAUUUUAUGUUUCCAUAGCGUAUUUAACGUUUAUAAUCUUGAUAAAAUGUUAAUCAUUGGUAAUACUCCUUGCUGGUCACGUUGAUUGUUCUAUAGUGUUAUAUGAAAUGAUUUUAAUUCCAUAUGAUUGCUCAUAAUAUUCUGCUCUUGCAUAGAGUCAUUUAUCAUUCACCGAGUCCGAGGCCGGGUAAUGUUCGUGCGGAGUUUCUUGCAUAUGUCACUGAGUCCCCCACUAAAGGGACGGGUAUGUAUAUUAUAUAUAUGAUUGGUGAUGAGGAUUGUUAUGAUGAUGAUGAUGACGAAUAUUAUGUGAUGAUUAUUUUGCCGAACCCCUUACUAGGGAAGCUGGGCACCUUAUGUGUUAAAGAUAUGCAUGAUUUUCACUUAAAAGGGCACAUGUGUAGCGAUAUUUUGUUUCGACUUACCAUGUUGGUAUCCUUUCAUCUUUACCUUAUGCUUUACAUACUCAGUACAUUGUCUGUACUGACCCCCCCCUUUCCUUGGGGGGAUGAGUUUCAUGCCCGAAGGUGUAGACACACGGUUCGGUGAUCCUCCCGCCUAGGAUAUCUACUUAGAUGAAUUGGAGAGCUCCACUAUUCCGGAGCCUAGUCGUUUUGGUACAUAACUUUUUGUGUAGCCUUUUGCCUGUCUAUGGGUAUGGUGGGGCCCUGUCAUGUCGAGUUUUACUACUAUAGUCUUAGAGGUCUGUAAUCAUUAUGUUGGUUGUAUAUAUAUAUGUUUUGGAUAAUGGACUGGACAUGGUUUUUUUGGGAUGUCUACUCGUACAGGGGAAGCCUUGUCGACUGCGUACAUCAUUGUGUAUUGUGUAGUGGCAGCCUUGUUGGCUUGUGUAUGCUAUUAUGCAUUAGAUAGUGGCAGCCUUGCCAGCUCGCGUAUGUUGUUACGGUUGAAUUGUUAUGACUCCUUAUGAGACAUGUCCUAUAUAUAUAUAUAUAUAUAUAUAUAUAUAUAUAUAUGGCGUUGGGGUUGUUAGGAUUUGAUUAAAUUGCAUAUAGUGAUAGUUUCAGUUGGUUAUACUUAGCAUGUUUGUAUUUGAGUGUCAAAAACGGGCACUAGUCACGGCCCAUCGGGUUGGGUCGCGACAAUUAAGGGUUUAGGGUUAGGUUUAAGGAUAGCAUUAGAGUUAGAGUUCGUUUUGGGGAUACAGUUACUGUUACUGUUUAGGGUUAUUUUAGGUUUCUAGGUUUCAGAUUUGAGGUUUAAUAUCAAUGGCUUAGUGUUUAAUGUUUGUGUUUUUGUAUUUUGGGCUUUGGGUUUUGAAUUUAUGCUAGGGUUAGGGUUAAGAUUAGGGGUAGGGCUUAGGUUUUGUUAGGUUUUAGGGCGUGUGGUUUAGGAUUUAAGUUGUAAUAUCUAUGGUUUAGUGUUUAACGUUAGGGUUUUUGUAUUUUUGGAUUUGUAUUUAGGGUUUAUGGCUUAUGGUUAGGGUUAAGGUUAGGGUAAGGGUUAGGGAUAGGGUUAGAGAUAUUAUUUAGGGUUUUUUUAGGUUUUAGGCUUUGGGGUUUAGGAUUUUUGGUUUAAAAUCUACGAUUUAGUGUUUAAUGUUUGGGUUUUCGUAUUUCGACUUAGUUUUUUUUUAGACAUUUUUUUGGGACUUAGGUUUAUGAUUUAGGGUUUAGGAUUAUAGUUAAGGUUAGGAUGCACGUUAGGGUGUAGGUUUUUUUUAGGUUUUAUGGUUCAGUGUUAAGAAUUUGAGGUUUAAAAGCUAUGAUUUAGUAUUUAAUGUUUGGGUUUUGGUAUUCUGGGCGUUUUUUUAAUUUUAUUUUUAUUACACUUGGGGGGGGGGGGUAAAGGGCUGUGCAACACCCCCAGGCCUUAACAUUAAUAAGCAAACAAAAUACAAGGAGGGUGGCUCAAACCUUACCUUCGGUCCUAUGGUUGUUCAUAGUAUACUUUCCAAGGAAAGCAGUCUUAUCCCCUAAAACAAUGACCAACAAUCUAAGCACCUAAAAGGGAGGACUCCUCUCGAUACAAAGAUUCUAGGAAUUUAAACAAGGGAUACUCUCCGUUUACCUUUUAAAUCACACAAAAUAACUAUCUAACCUAUUCAAAGAAGCUAUAAAUUUAAAUCAUAGAUAAGUUGAAAAGGUGAUACAUAGUCUAGGGAGGUUCUUUGAACUUUUUGCUCUUCUUCCUUCUAAAACUUGGCAUUCCCUGUAUAUCUAGCUGAUAAUAGGUGUUUUCUUCUUUAGGUAACUUUUGACUGUUGUUUUAGAGUUGUGGACUAGUGAGAUUGUGUCUGUGUUUGGACAAGUAGUCAACAACCAAGUUUCCCUCCCUAAAGAUAUGUAUGCAUUUGAAUUCCUUUGCCUGGAAGAUAAGUAUUUGCAACCUUUCCAUCUGUAUACAAAUACGCCAUUGUGGUGUUGAUUUUUUCAUAAUCAGAUUCACAAUUAACAGUAAGUCCACUUUUAGAAUGAUUUUCCUAUAUCCUAGUUCCAAUGCCCAAGUCAUUCCAAAGAUGGUUGCACCUAUUUCCGUUUGAUCGUUUGAUCCUUCUCUAAGGGGAGAUGUAAAAGCAAUUAAUAAUUUUCCUGUAUGAUCUCCCAAUAUACCACCUGCCCCAAUCUUGCCUGGGUUUCUUGAUGCACUUCCAUCAAUGUUGAUCUUGAUCCAUUGGUCAGGUGGUCUUGUCCAUGCUACCAUUUGUACCUUUAUGACAUGCUUACACCUUUUUGCUAGAUGAAUGAUUCCUUUCCAUGUAGAAGGACAAUUAUUCUUGAAAUGAGCAGUUAUGAGUCUAUAAUUGUCAUUAUAUAUUGCAUACCUUACUCUUCUACUAUUGGAUGUUUUGCCUCUAUAUUACUACUAGAAUAUCUAUUCUUCAAGAGGUUCCGGUAGAUGAGAAUAUGGGUGACCUAUAAAAUGAGUUUAUGAGCUUCAGUUUUGUGUUUCAUUGUCCACUACUAUAAAAUUAAUUGUUGAAGAUAAAUGUGAUCAAUUUUAACUCCAGCCAUAGUUGCAAAGCUUCUCAAAACUUCUUCUACUAGUGCUUCAGUGCUAAAAAUUUGAUUGAUUUUGUCUGUACCUGACCUAUAACAAAAACAGAAGCAAAUUUUUGGCUCAAUGCCAAAAGUUGUUAGCCUUUAAUUAGUAGGUAUUUUGACUUUUAAUUCUGUCCAUAAUAAAAAAGAAUCUUUGAAAGGAAUGUGUUUAUUCCAAAUGAUGGAAUUGAUUUGAGAGUUAAAUCUUUUUUCCUUGUUUUUAUUCCAUGCUGAAAAGAAACUAAACUGCAUGUUGGAGUGGAGUUUCCAGUAAGCUUGGUCUGGGAAUUGUUGAUGUGGAGGAACUGUUGUGCGAGGAUGUUUACCCAUUGAAAUGGAGGAGCCUGUUGAAUUAAUAUAUGAUAGUUCCAUUUCCCUUCCAUCCAGAAGUCUGCCACUUUGCGAAAAUCAAACCUUUGAAUGUUAGUAGAGAAUUGAGCAAGUCGUCCUUGCCCUAACAAGUUAUCCCACCAAAAGGAACAGGUUCUAGAGUUUAGUUUCCAUUGAAUUGGUUGCUCAAUUUGGUUUUUCUUGUGCAACAUAUGCUUCCAGCUCAAAGAAUCACCAUAAUCCCAUUUCUUACAAAUGGCAUUGGAUCUUUGGCAACACUUGGAUUUUAGAAAUUCACCCUAUAAGGUGUGUUUAGUCUUAAGAUCCACCAUUUCUUAUAUUCAAAGGAUAAAUAUACAUCUUUAAGGUUUCUCAUUCCAACCCCUGCUUCCUCAUUAGGUUAGCUUAAGUUCCUCCAUGAUGCCCAGUUAUAUUUUCUCUUUUCGCUCUUCCAUCCCCAGAAAAAAAUAUGCCAUAAGUAUCUGAAUCUCUUUAAGCACUAUGAAAGGAGGAGUUAUAGCUGAAAGUAAGUGAAGUGGGAAAGCUUGUAACACAUGCUUAAUAAAAACUGCCCUUCUUUAAUAUUCCUGAAAAUGUACAUGACUAGUGAAGAGCAUAGUAAAUUUUUUAAUGAAUGUGUAUUGGGGUCAAUAGGCAUCUCAAUGCCCAAUAAUGAGAAAUAUUUGGCAUAUUAUAGAAUAUUGGCUUAAGGGUGUUAGCCAAUUUGUAUGUAUACACAGGAAUUUAAAAUGUAAUCCAAGCUUGUUUAAGAAUUGUGCCAGCAAUAAUGACCAUAAGCUAAAAUUAUUGAUUCUCAACUUAACACAUUAUGUACUAGGCAUCCAAGUGUCAAACUUAGGUACCAUUGCACAUGACCAAUUAAAAUGAUCAUGUAGAUUAAGCGGUGCCCAAGGACAAACUGAGGAUCCUUGGGACAAAAAGUAAAUAGUCCAAAUGAACCUUCAAGAAUAGUUAGUUGGGAAAGUACACGAAACACAUGUGAAACUGGCCAAGAGACAAGCUAAUCGAUUCGGUUAGAGCAGUUCGGGACAGGCGCGCGUCUGGGUCAGCCCAUGUGGGGCCAAUCUGCCUAACAGGUCCUAGACUCCAACUGACCUAGAUAACUAACUAACCUAGGAAAAACCAAAAGAAACUAACUAAGGGACCCGAAAACCUAAGACCUAAUCAGGUCAAAUUAAGACAAGUAACCAACUAAGAAAAAUCGUAGUACCUAACCUAGGAUGAUCCAAAAGAGUUUCUUAUGGUCCUAAUGACUUAGGUGUACUUUAGUUAUUACCCUCGAUCAGUUAAUUAAUUAAAUUAGAAAAUCAAUCAAUUAAUUAAAAAUCAAAAUCUAGCCGAAACACUUCGAAAAUUUCUAGAUUUGGCGAAGUUCACUUAGAAAAUUUCUAGAUUUGGCUAAGUCAAAUGUUCUCUUUUUUUAGUCAAUUUAUGAGGGGCAUUUUGGUAAUUAGCUAAUUGAUUUAUUUAAUUAACUCAAUUAAGCUAAGUUUAAUUAGUCAAUAUUUGUUCCUAAGACUUAGACUUAUGUUCAAUCACAAGAAAACUCACGACUCAAAACAGUAAGCAAUCGUAAGUAAAAUAGGAAAUUCGCCUUAGGCGAUUUCAAGGCUAUUCUUCAAGGUUUUCGUGCAAAGUGCAAGGUGAUCUUCGUAGAUUACAAUAAGGUAUGAGUUUUCUCUUGGUUUCCUUUCCCCUAUAGGCUUUUCAAAUGUUUUGAAUUCAAGAGAUCUGAAACUAGGGUUGUUCCCAAUGAAAUUUUUGAAUGUUCAUCUCCCUAAUUUACCCUAUUUUUGACUUUCAGUAUUAUGUUUAAUGAAAAAUCUCGAGCAUGUUGUUGGUAUGUGGUGCUAACUAAUCAUUAUGUGUAAGUUUUUAUGAUUUAAUAAUGUCGAAUGAUACCUAUAGGUUAGAUCCGUAUGAUUGAUGCAAAAUUGUGUUCGAAAUGAUUAAAUUGUUAUAAGUCAUUUAUAAAAUUCAAUUUACUGUUGAAAAGGGACGAAGGUUUCGAAUUACUCUUUGUGUUUACAGCAGAUAUGUUUGUAAGUGGUUGGAAUGCAAUGUUUCCAAGUAGAAAUAAGACGUGAAUCAAAGCUAAUUAAUGGAUCUUCAAUGUCAAAUCAACUUUAUUGCUUGACCAAAUUAAGUAUUGAAUUAUUCCUUCGAUUAAAAGUUUGUUUGCUUAAAAUGAUGAGAUUAGUAUAGUAUAUACAUAAUUUUAAUUGGCUUGGCUAGUGAUAAUAUCAUAGUUUAAUUUGUUCCAAUAAAUUGGCUUACAAUGUUAUUUCCAAAAUAUGAUAUAAAAAGUGUCUAAUUACUACGUUAUACCAAAUUAAGCAUGACCAAUGUAACUCAAUGAAUUCAUAACCAAGGGUAUGCCAAUCAUUGGGAAAAGUCCCAACAUACCCUAUCCAAAUGAACUAUGAAUAUAGUAGUACAUUUAAUAAGUUUAUAACUUUUGAUAAAGAUGAUAAAAGUCUACCAAAUGACAUUGAGCAAGAUAAUGUGAGUAAUUACAUAACUAAAAGCUUAUUAGUUAUGAAAUUGACAAGAAUGGGGGUUAAAGGAAGUGGGACAAGUCUCACUUGCACCUAAACAAUUAUGUUAAAGAUAAUCACAUAAGAUGGUGUUAGAAAUCGUGAGACAAGUCUCAUUAACACCAUGAUGAUAAUGUAAGGUUUAAGUUCACAUUCAUCAAGUAAAGAAAGGCAUGAAAAGUCAUCCAUUGAGUUAAGCUUACCUCAUAUUAGGAGCACGCUUCCAUGAUGUAUAAGUCAACUCUAAAAGUUAAAAAUUAUAAGAAAUUUGAGAAAAGCACCGAUAGACUAGCAAUGAGCUUGUGCAAGCACAUCUAAGCCUCAUGAUAUGAGAGGACCCCAAAGGUUUAUAAGUAUUCUCCGAAAUCUCCUAGUCUUUGAACUAUGAUUCCGACAUAGGAACUAACUCGUGGAUUCCACCUAAUAGAGAUAGGUAGUAUUCAGUUUCACUUUGGCUGGUGAACCACCGCUUUUUAGUGUGGGGCAGACACUGGAUUUCAUCUUUAGCUCACAUUAUCUAUGUCGAUUAAUGCUCAAAGAAAUUAUUCGAUUUCACAUUAGCCGUUAACCACCUCUUUUAAGUAUGGGGAAGACAUUGGACUUUGUUUCACUUUAGCCGGUGAAUCACCCCUUUUAGUUGUGGGGAAUACACGUGAUUUCAAUUUAACUCACAUGAUCUAGGUUUACUUUGAUUGGUGAACCACCCCUUUUCGGUGUGGGGCAGACACUGGAUUUCAUGUUAGCUCACAUGAUCUACCUCCGUUAAUGCUAAAGAAUUCUUUAAAGAAAGUAAGAAAGAAAUAAAAGUAGCAUCUUCACAGUGAAUAAUAGAUCAAAGAAGUAGAAACAUAAGUUCAAAGUGAGCUAAGUAAGCAAAAGCUUAAGAAUGUCAAUCACCAGCGUUUGACAAGAAUAAAGUCUUAAAAAGUUAUUGGUUAUUGUAAUAUUGGAGUGUGGAUAUAUGCCUCAACGAUUCAUUUAUUAGGUUAACAACCAAUUAAUGGGCAUAACCAAUAAAGAUUGGCUUAUAAAUACAUUCAGGUCAAAUUUAAUAAGAAUGGAAAAUAUACCUUGUAAGUAGGGUAGCCAAAUCAUUUCCUUAGUCUUUUGGAUCACUUACUCGAUUCAUAUUAUGUAUAGGACUACGAUGAAUCAUUGCACUUAUAAGUAAAAUGUAAGAUCAAAGGAUAUUAUUGAACUACACAAAUGAGAGAAGAAAAAGACUGAAAAAUAAACUAAGUCUGGAGGGAAGAGCUCUCAGCCUAAGGGAGCAAAUUUCUUAAGUUUUGUUCAAGUUGUUCUAAAAUUAUGUUCAUGAUUCCAAAGUCUUAACGAUGUCGGUCUCAUCUGGGGUCUACAUUCCCGGUGUGAAAUCUUCCUCAUAGCUUAGUUGCUUUGUCUGCCACCCAGUAAUCCUGCAAAUCAUCUUAUUGACAAAGUCAGAAAAAUAAAUUAUCCUAGGUCUACCAACAAAGAGAUGGCACCCAAGAUAAGUAAGAGGUCCCUGUUUCUUUUUGAAACCUGUGAUUCAUUUAAUUCUGUCCUUUAUACUGUUAAAGACAUUCAGAUGCGCCAUCAAUUGGUUUUUAUCACUAUUGAUCAGCUGGUCAGAUGUUUUCUCAUAAUUCUUGAGAGUUUGCACGACGAGUUGGAGAGUUUUGGCUCUUCUAGAAUAGAACAGAAUUGUGUCAUCUACUACGCUCAAAUGAUUCACCUGGGGGCCUCUCACUUCCUUGAAGAAACCAUGAUAUUCUGGAUGAUUAUCCAACCUAUUUAAAGAGCGGUAGAGCAGCUCUGCACCUAAAAUAAUUAGGGCAAAGAAAAUGCGACCACCUUGUAUAAGGCCUCUAGUAAAUUCGAAAAAUCCAAUCUCCUCCCAUUAAUAAGGAUGGAAUACCAGUACUAGCCAUAACUCUCUACAACAUAUCAAUGAAGACCUCAUUAAAUCCCAUCUUCCAUAAUAGCAGACAAAUCUAGGCUCAAGAGACUGUGUCAUAAGCCUUUUUCAUAUCUAGAUUCAUAAUGCAUUACUACCAAUAUUAGGCUUUUUGAUUUUAUGUAUAAUUUCCUGAGCCAGCAUGAUGUUUUUAGAGACACUUCUACCCUUCACAAACCCUAUUUAAUUGAGAGAAAUAAAAUUAGGAAGAAUAGGACUCAAUCUUUUGCUCAAGAGUUUGGAGAUGAUUUUACUAAUGAAAUUUCUAAGGCUAAUAGGCGUGAACUCCUUCAUUUUGUUGGGGUUAAUCAUCUUUGGUAGAAGCAAAUGCAGGAAUGUGAAAAAUAUUUAGGAAUGACUUGGGUACUGAAGAAAACCCAAAAUCACUCCCAUAAGGUCAUGAUUGAUGAUGCGCCAACAUUUCAAAAAGAAAUACUCAUUCAUUCCAUUCGACCCUGCUGCAGACAUGGGGUUUAUGGAGAAGACCACUUCUCUCAGUUCCUCCAUGUUAGGAAUGUUGAUGAGUGUGUCAUAUUGUUCCGACCAUUCUAGGGAUACAGUCUAAAGAAUCUUCAUUGAUAAUUUUGUCUGCUCCUGUAAACAUUUGUUGAAAGUAUUCAUAGGUAGCCUUACCAAUACUAUAUUCUCCCUACAACCAUUCCCCAUUCUCAUGAAUUUUGUGAAUAUUUUCUCCUUCUUCCCCUUAUCAGAGAUUGGAAGAAUUUAAAGUUUGUGUCUCCCUCCUUGAACAUUGCAACUGAGAUUUCUAUUUCAUAAUUUAGUCUUCCGGAUUGAGAUAUCGAAUGUACUUAACACUAAGAUCAUCAAGUGCCUCCCCAUUCUCUCUUAGACCAUGAACUUAAGAGUAUUAGAUAAUCUUUUCAGCUUUUGAUGGAAUCUCCAUAUUGUAUUUCCUUCCAUUUCCCUCUCCCAGCAAGUUUUCACAAUCUACAGGAAGUGAGGGCUGUCUACUGAGCAGUUAAGAAAUCUGAAAUAUUUAAUGUGGACCUCCUCUUUGUUGACUAUCUCCAUUAAUAAUGGAUAAUAAUCUAAGUCAGUAGAACAUAAAUAAGUAAUGGUGAUUUGGGGUAUCAGGUAAACUCAUAUAUCAUUAAUAAGGGCCCUGUCAAGGCUUUUCCAUAAUCUAUGGUUGAUAACACACUUGUUGGACAAAGUAUAUUUUUGACCACUAAAUUUGAUAUUCAUUAGCCCACAAGCCUCAAUAAUAACUAUGAAAUCCAUGCUCUUUAAAAUGUUGUAAGGUAUCCCUCCCAACUUCUCAUUUGUAGUUGUUAUUACAUUAUAAUCUAUCAGUAAAAUACUAAGCCUUGUCCACCCCCUCAGCCUAUUAAAGUAUUUUAUCCAUAAAGGAUAUUUCAGAUGUUCUUUACAUUUGGCAUAGACAAAGGUAAUGGUGAAUUGAUUUUAACUCAUUAUGAUUAAAGUCACAAGUAAUUUGUUGCUCUUCGUUAUCCCUCACAUUACAGCCAAUAUCACCAUCCCAAAAAAGCAAAUUUAUACCACUACAGUUGCUCACAUAAUUAUCCAUGGCUAAUUGAAUUUUGAGGUUCAUCACAUUAACUCUGUCUCCAAAGGGCUCCAGAAUAGCAAUGAUAGAUAGUUGAUGCAUUUUCUUGAGCAUUUUAUGUAUUUCCAUAUAUCCCUGUUUAAUGAACCCGCUCACAUUCAGUAUAAUUGUAUUAAUCAUUGAGAUGCUCUAGAGGAGAAUAGUUUGGAAUCUGGUCUGCCAGCUAUAAUAGUUUUAACAUCCUUAUUCUAGAAAUGAAACUUGUCAUGUAGCAGCCUUCUUUGAGAUAGACCUUUAUUUUGAGUUACUUGUUGAUCCUCCUCUUUAAGUGCCUGAUCAUUCUGAGGAAUGAAAGCUCUUAUUAAAGCUUCACUAAUAUCAUUAACAUCGUUAGCGUCCUGAACAAACUAAUUAUCUCUGUCAACCUCAUCUUCAAAAUUUUCCAGUUCAUACUCAUCUAUAAGUGGUAUAGUAUUAACUUUACAAUAGAUUUGCUCUUUAUCUGGAGGGGACCUUGGAGGUGGUUUCUUAUUUUUAGUCUGUAAAUAAGGGUUAUCCAUUCCCUGCUGAUUACUUACCAUCAAGAAUUUUUUUCAUGGUUCCUCCUUCCUUUCAUGUUCUCUGAGCUGCAUCUCUUUUUUGAUUGCUUGACUUGUUUUUCUCUUGGGGGUAUUUUCAGAUUUUCUAUUGGUUGAAUUAUUCCCCUUCUCCUUAUCUUUGGUACCCUUGUUUUAUUUUUCACUGUAACCAUAUUCCUUUUUCUAUUUUUUCUUGUUUCCUGCAUUAGUAACUUGCUUGUUUUCUUCCAUCUUCUGUGUAUUCGGUGCCAUCUUCUAUUUCCCAACUUGUUGUUUAUUUUUUAUGUUAACCUGGGCUCUAAGGUUAGGGUUUUGGUCUGUGUAAGCCCCCUCAUGCACAACAUGAUGCAAUUUCCCCACCUUUUGUCACCCCUUCCUGCAUGUUAGUAGGGUUCUCCUGACUUUCCCCAUCCUUCCCUCCUUUAGCUACACCAAUCAUAACCUCAUUCAAAUGCUUAUUAUUGGAGUUAAAUUUUAUAGCUAUUAUACCUAACUUGUUGUUCUUUUCUUCAUUUUUUUGAAACUUUCGUUAUUGAUUUGGACUGCUUCCUUGUUCCAACCGGUUGUAAAUUUCUUGAGUUGUGUUUACCUUUUGAUUUGCUUCCUCUCCUGUUUCAUUAUUUUAUGCCUGCAUAGCUAGAUUAGUAAAUAUGUUAUUUUGAGGAUUAAUACUCAUAACUGCUUGUUGUACAUGCAACUUUGGUUUUCUCUUGCUGCCUGGCUGGUUGUUAUUGUAGGUCCCCAGAUUGUCUUUUUACCAACCUCCUCUUGAUGUUUUUUAUUUUUCUUUCUAUGAGUGUUCCAUUCAUCCUCCUUUUGUUGAAUAAAUUGUUUUUGUUUAACACUUUCAUUAUAUAGUGACCUUGGUGUCUGCAGUACUAACAGUAAGGAGGAAUGUUUUCAUAUUCCACAGGUGUCCAUGUACCUAUGGUAUAAUCUUCAUUAUGUAACAGAAUCCACACAUGUCUAGGCCUAGGUUUGGUCAAAUCAAUUUGCAUCAUUACCUUAUCCAUCGCUUCUCUAGAUCUUUUGAUAGAUGUUGUAUCCAAGUAUAAGACCUUGUCUACAGAUUCCAAUAACAGAGUGCGAAAAGGUUUUUUGAAACAAUGAUAGGGCAAGCCUGGCAAUAAAAUCCAAACAGGGACAAUAGGUGUCUCCUCUUCCGGAGUAAAGAUAGGUGUACAAGAUUGAUCCUCAUAAGUUUACCCUCAAUGGUCGUUCUUUAUUGUAUCAACAUUGUGUUGUAAUCUAGUUCAUUUUGAAGGUCAAUAAAUAAAUGUUUAGCAUUAUAAUAAGCAAUGUUGACCCCCCUACACACACACUAAGUUAAGUCUGUCGAAUGAAGCUUUUUCUAAUGAGCUCAAAUUUAGGUAUUGUAGUACUAAACUUCCUUACCAAUGUCUAUUUACAGUCCACAGUAAGAGUGCAUAUAGUCAUGCAUAUAAAAUAUCACCGCUGGUUGCCCUUGUUUAGUGGUUUGUCUGGGAGUGGUUUUUAACACAAUAUUUGGACUCUAAGCUGAAUGGAUGUGUCUCACUCAAGCAGCCAAAGUUUGGACCACUGUAUAAGAAGGUGGUUUAGAGACAUGUUCCUAAAUUGUUUGUAGGAAGAACUUUAGGUGUGGUGGAUUCAAUUGGUGUAGGAGUGGGAGCAUUUUGGUCUUUGGGUUUAGGGUUUAUGGUAGGGUUAGGGUUAGGGUUAGGACUAGGGUUUAGGUUGUUUUUCAGGUUUUAGGGUUUGGGGUUUACAAUUUGAGUUGUAAUAUCAAUGGUUUAGUGUUUAAUGUUUGGGUUUUCGUAUUUUAAAGAUUUGAGUUGUAUAAUCUUUGGUUUAGUGUUUAAUGUUAGGGUUUUGGUAUUUUGGGAUUUGGGUUUAGGGUGUAGGGAUUAGGGUUAGGGUUAAGUAUAGGGUAAGGUUAGGGUUCAUUUUAGGGAUUGGGCUAGGGUUAGGGUUUAGGGUUUUUUUUAAGGCUUUAGGUUCUGGGGUUUAGGAUUUUUUGUUUGAAAUCAAUUGUUUACGAUUUUUGUUUGAAAUCAAUGGUUUAGGAUUUCCAGCUUGAUGUUUCCAUUGGAUGUGUUGCUCCACUUGUUGUUUGUUCAUCAGCGUAUAAUUCCAAAUUAAAGAGACUCCAGUAUCCCAAUUUUUGCUGACAAGGUCGGACCUUUGACAAUAUUUUACUCUCUAAAGUUCUCCCCACAAGGUUUGUUUGGUUCUAAAAUCCACCAUUGUUUGAAUUGGAAGGCCUUUCAAAUAUCUUUUAGGUCUCUCAUUCCCACUCCUCCCUCAUCAUAAGGGAAGCUUAGGUUUUUCCAAGAAUCCCAAUGGUACCUCUUCCUAUUACUUUUCCAUCCCCAGAAGAAGUCAGCCAUAAGCAUUUGAAUUUGUUUAAGAACGGUUGGUGGAGGAGUUAAUGCAAAAAGUAGGUGAAUAGGGAUGGCCUGUAACACAUGUUUUGUAAGAAUUGACUUUCUACCAUAGCUGAGUUGUUUGGUUUGACAACCUGUAAUCGUGCCAAAAACAUUAUUAACAAGGUCAGAAAAAUAUACAUUCCCAGGCCUGCCAACAAAUAAGGGGCAACCUAAGUAAGUAAUAGUACCUUGCUUUUGUUUGAAACCUGUAAGCCUCUUUAUUCUAUCUCUUGGUCUAUUAAAAUAAUUAGAGUGUAGCAUAAAGUGACUUUUGUAUCCAUUGAUAAGUUGUCCUUAAGUAUUUUCAUACUCCUUUAAGGUAGUCAUUAAGAUCUUCAAUGUUUUGCAUCUUCUGAGUUGAACAAAAUUAUGUCAUCAGCAAAACUGAGAUGGUUUACUUGUGGACCCCUCAUUUAUAUGAAUAAACCAUCGUAGUCUUGUUGAUUGUGUGUCCUGUUAAGAAAUCUUGAUAAUACCUCUGCACCUAAAAUAAAUAGGGCCUGGGAAAGAGGAUCACCUUGCUUGAGACCUCUAGUGGAAUGAAAUGAAACUGUAUCUCUUAAAAUUAACAAUGAUUGAGUACUAAUUGUUUUCCAUGAUUCUCCACACCAUUUCAAUAAAUACCUUAGCAAAUCCCAUUUUCCUUCAAACCAGGCAAAUAUAUGACCAAGAAACCUGUCAUAAGCUUUUACCAUGUCUAGCUUAAUGAUGACAUUGCUAUCAAUAUUGAGUUUUUUAUUUGGUGGAUUAUUUCCUAAUCUAGCAUGAUCUUCUCAGAAUUACUUCUACCUUUAAAAACUAGGAUUUGUUAGGAGAGAUUAAUGUAGGGAGGAUAGGACUAAGUCUGUUUCUCAUUAGGUUAGAUAUGGUCUUGCUAGUGAAGUUGCUCAAACUUAUAGUCCUAUACUCAGUAAUCUUGUUUGGAUUAUUAAAUUUAGGGAGCAGCACAAUACAAGAAUGGGAGAAGUAUUUAGAAAUCAUCUGUCCAUUGAAAAAGGCAUGUACAACCCUUAUUAGAUCAUUUUUGAUAAUAUGCCAAAACUUUUGAAAAAAGUACCUAUUCAUACCAUCAAGGCCAACUACAGAAUUAGGAUUCAUAGAAAAAACCACAUCUUUAAGUUUAUCCAUACUAGGAAUAUUGGUAAGCAAAGUAUUUUGGUCUUGACUAAUCAUCCUUGGAAUGCAUUCAAAAGUAUGCUCAUUGAUAAGCUUUUCUUCACUGUUAAAGAUUUCUUUGAAGUGUUCACAAGCUACCUGAGAAAUGUUGUCAUCACCUUGUAUCCAAUUUCAAUUUUACUUGACAACUUUAUGAACAAGUUAUUUCCUUCUUCUUCCCCUUAUCACAUAAUGGGAGUAUUUAGAGUUAGUAUUACCCUCUUUAAACCAUUGAAGCUGGCUUUUUCGUUUCAAAAUAGUUUCUUCAAACUUGAAAUACUUGAUGUACUUUGCAUUAAUUUCUUGAAGGAUACUUCUAUUUGAGUCACUUUGGUUAGAGGUGUAGUUUUCUUUAGCGUUGUGCACUUGUUCCUCAUAAUUCCUAACCUUUUGGAAAAUAUCACCAAAUUCAUUCUUAGACCAAACACUAAGAGUGUGUUACGUAUGAAGGAAAACAUUUUCUGGAAAAUGUUUUUCAAUUUUCUCAUGUUUUGUUGGAGCAAAAGUUUUGGAAAAUGUUUUCCAAAUCAACUCAUUUUCCUCAAAAUUAGGAAAAUGACUUCCCUUCAAAAAUAAAGGAAAACAUUUUCCAAAACUCUCCUCCAAUAUCAAAUUACUUUUUUUUUUUAGGAAAACAUCAAUUUUAAAAAAAUAUUUUCAAUUUCAAAAUUAUAUUUUUUCACCCGAUCUAUGAUCACCCCCCUGCUCCCCUCCCCCAACACCACCCCCUUCCCAAAAAAUUAAUUUUGAUUUUUAAAGAUAUUUUCAACUUCAAAAAUUUAUUUUUAAGCUCCUACCCCCCUCCUCCCCCGGCCAGCCUCACUACCCACCCCUACCAGCCCCCUCACCCCAACCCCCACUCUCCCAAAAAAUUAAUUUUAUUUUUUUAAAAUACUAUCAACUUUAAAUUUUUAUUUUAUCACUCCUACCCCCUCCCUCUGCCCCCCCUACUACCCCACCCCCCAUCACCACUACCCAAAAAAAAUUAUUUUUAAAAAUUAUUUUCAAUUUCAUAAAAUAUUUUGUAUUCUGAUAAAAAUAAAAGAUAUUCCUCAAAAAUAUUUUUCAUUUAUAAAUAAAACACAAAAUCAUUUUCGGAAUAUAUUUUCUACUCACCAACCAAAAAUGAGAAAACAAGUUCAAAAUCUACUUGUUUUCCAAGAAAACAUUUUCCAUGGAAAACAUUUUCCUUCAUACCAAACACACCCUAAGAGUGUUUACCAACAUUUUCAUUUUUUGGUUAAAUCUCCACAUACCAGUACCAGCCACUUCCUUCUCCUAGCAGGUUAUAACAGUUUUUAUUAAAUGAGGGUUUUCAACCCAACAAUUGAGAAAUCUGAAGUAGUUGAUGCGAUCUAUUGUUGUGAAAACCAUUUCAAUAAGAAGAGGACAAUGAUCAAACCCAGUAGUUAACAAGUGAGUUAUAGUUGUUUUAGGUAUAUUUUCCAACCAUGAAUCAUUUACCAUAGCCUAUCAAGCCUCUUCCAAAUUAUGUGAUUGAUACCCCUCUUGUUGGACCAAGUGAAUUAGGACCCCUAAAGCCAAUGUCCAAGAGGACAAAAGCUUCAAUAACAACUAUAAUAUCCAUACUUUUCCUCAUGUUAUAAGGCAACCCUCCAUGUUUUUCCUCCAUAGAAGUUAUAACAUUGAAAUCACCUAUAGUAGACCAAGGGUUGUCAUUCGAUGAGGCUUGCAGUAGUAUUUUGUCCCAAAGAGGUCUCUUGAGGUGAUCUUUACAUUUAGCAUAAACAAAUGUACUUGUAAAUUGGUAUUGUAAUUAAUUGUGUUUGAUGUUGCAAGUGAUUUGUUGUUCAUCUUCAUCAAGAUAUUACAGUUAAUAUCAGUGCUCCAAAAAGCCCAAAAUUUUACCAUUACAAUUACUAGUAGCAUUUUCCAUGUUUAAUUUGACCUUAAAGCUUUAAACAUGCACACUAUAAGAGAAAGGUUCCAAAAUAGUGAUAACAGAUAAAUGGUGAAGCUUCCUGAGCAUCUGGAGUCUCUCCAACACCCCUUGAGUGUUGAUACCUCUCACAUUCCAUAUGAUUGUACUAAUAAUUGGGAAGAUCUAGAGGAAAGGAGCCUAGUAUUAGGUCUUCCAGCAGUGAUAGUAUUGACAUCUUGUUUCUUAAAGUGAUAUUUAUCAAGGUGGAAACCCCUUGGAGAAACACAUUGACUUUGUGUAACUUUUUAGAUCUCUUCCUCUAGGGCCUCUGAUCAUUAUGAGGACUAAAGGCCUUAAUAAGGGCAUCACUAGUCUCAUCAUCCUCAUCAAACUCUUCUAAGGAGUGAGUAUCCCCAUAAAUUUCAUCUUCAGAAUUAUCCACAUUAUAUUCAUCUAUAGUAGGCACCUUAUUCAGCUUACAUGUUUGUUGUCUCUUGUCUAGGGGUUCAGAUGAUAGUGGAGUCAUAUAUUGAGCCUGAAGAGGGAGGAUAUCCAAUCCAUGAUUAUCAUAAAUCAUAAUAAAUUUGUUGCAUGAUUCCUUCCUCUUUUCCUGUCCCUGUUCACUGUCAUUGAUUUGUUGCUUGUUCUGUCUCCUUUUAGCAGCGUCCCUUUUCUGUUUGUUGGAUUAUUUUUGCUUUUUGGAGUGAUUUCCGGAGUAUAAGUAUCAACCUGUCCCUUUAUCUUUAUUUUCCUCUUUUUUUCAGCAUGUUGUUUUUUUCCUUAUUAUUUUUAGAAUCUUGUGAUCUGUUAUCUCUGAUCUGCAUUUUCUGUUUGAUCUGUUGUUUUUCCUUUUGUUGAUGCCUAUUCCUAGAAUUAUCCAGGGAUCUAAAGUCUUUCCUAUGGUCAAUGAGGCAAACACCCCCCUUUGAUAACCCGAUCCUGCAGGUUAUUGGUUUUCUCCUGAUACCCCCCAUCCAUACCUUCAACAGCUUAUUCAGUAAAACCAUCAUCCACAUCAAUAAAGUUGGGGGAAUUGUGAGAUUUGAGCAUUGAGUCAAUAUCUGUGCUCUUCUUCUUAGUGACAGUACCAUGUUAUUGGUUUUAUUCCAAGUGUGUGUUGAGGUUGUUCCUGACAAUUGGGCUAUUAGCAGUCCCUUUUUUUGAUUGGUUUGACUAGUCUGCUGUCUUCCUGAUUGUUCCAGCCCCUGUUAGGCCUGUCUCCUGUUGUUCCUGCAUUUCAAGAUUAGAAUAGUAAUUUUGAGUUCGAAAGUUAGGUAUACAUGUUGUUUCCUGUGUUUGUUGCUGGCUGCCAUUGCUUCUUUGCUUUUGAGGUGAGACAGGACUCCAAACAGCUUUAGAGAUGGUUUGUUCCAGAUUUUUUUGUUGUCUUCUUUUUGUGUCUGCCACCAUUCCUGUGAUUCUGCUUGUUGGCCUUGUUCCUUUUGAUUAAAGGUGUGCUUACCUUAUUGUUGGUCUGUAAUUUUAUUCUUUGAUUGAUUUUGUGCUUCCUCCUUUCUAGCUUCUCCCUUUUGCUGAUUGUUUAGUUAAUUUUAUUACUUUGUUGUAGCUUCAUGCGUAAUCUUUUCAUUCUCAUUGGGUUUUGUGUGAUUUCCUUGUUCCUUAAUGUUUUUUUUUCAAUUUUUUCAUCCUUCCUUUUCUUUAACUUCUCAUCCCUUCUCUUGAUUGUACAGUCAUCUUCCAUGUGUCCUUGGUGUUUGCGUUAUAUGCAAUAGUUAGGAAUACCUUUAUAUUUAAAGUUUAACCAUCUCCUCUUUAUGUGGUUUGAAUUCUUAAAUCCCAGCCAAAUAUAACUGGGUCUAGUUUUUGUUAGGUCCACUUGAACUUUUAACCUUAAACUUCUACCUCUAGUUCUUUGGGAGGAUGUUGAAUCUAGGAAUAACACCUUUCAAAUUUACUCCAAAAUAGUCGUUAGUAGCACUUGGUUAUAACAAUUCAAGGUAAUCUAGGGAUAGCCACCCAAAUUGAAGCAAUGGGAGUUUCCUCAUCAGGGGUAAAAGAAGGGGAAGUAUGUAUUCUCAUCACUUGCCAUUCAAUAUUCUUUCUAAGCUUCGUCAAAACUUUUUGGUAGUCAGAAUCAUUAUCAAGGUCAAUAUAAACAUGUCUUGCAUUGUAAUGUGUGAUCUUCACACUUCCUGUGAAUUGAAUUUUGAGAAUAAAGCUUUUUUCUCAAUAGUUCCAUUUAUGGCAUCGUAUUAGUGAACGGUCCCACAAGUGUGUAUUUACAAACCUCAGCCAAUUUCACAUAAUUGUCAUCCUCAUCAAGUAGCACAGCCGGAAAUCCAUGUCUAGUCGUAUGUAUAGGAUCCUUUAAGACAAUAGGAAUUUCAUUUUUUGACUGAUUGUAUCUCAACCUUGCAGCAAAAGAUGCACCACAAUAUUUGGUGUAGGUUCAGAUUUUUUUCAGUUUUUGCAUUGUUAUUAGGAUUAUGAACAUGUUUUUGGUUGGAAGGACUUCUAUCAAUAAACUGAACCACAUUAGUGGCCUGCUUAUUAGUUUUAUCUGCUUUAGUAUUAGGCUCAUACUGGAGUAGUUGUUGGAUAUUUUGGGGAAGUUAUUAUGGUACUCCACACUUGCUUGAUUGAUUUGAUUCCAUAAGUUUACUCCUCUUUGAUUGUAGGUGUGUUUGGAUUGAUCAUUUUAUUAGGCAACACUCCCUUGAACCUUCUUGGCAACAAUUCCUUAGACGUGUUCUAUGACAUGCUUGCAGCUUCCAGCACUCCUUUGUUCAUUUCCUCCCUGCUGCAACUCUUUGCCUUGUUGAUCAUGUUUUUGCCUCUAGUGUUCUUGCCUUUGCAGCUUUACAUUCCAUGUUCCUCACCUUUGUCAUCCGGUGAGGUUUGAUUUUCGAGUUACCUGUAUUAAAAGAAGGAUUUAUAUAGGAUGAAUUACUUUCUAAACCAUAAUAAAAUUUCGAUGAUUGUGUGUCAUUUGAUGAGGUUGCUGGGUGCAUCCUCAUAGUGUUCCUGUUAGUGUCAUGCUACGUAAUCAAAUUUUCCUCCUGUUGUGUUUUGUUUUCUUCUCCAAUUGUUGUUGCUUCGAUCGACUCAGAAAACUCAAGUUGGUGUUGUUAGGACUUUCGAUCAGAAAUAGAGGUCUGCCCUUCACUUUUAUGCUUUUCUUUUUAUAAUAUAGAAUUAGGAUCAAUGUAUGGUGUUGAAAUAUUAUUGUUGUUGAUUUCCCCUUUGGAGUGAUUGUAAUUAUCUGUUAGAUGGAUGUUCUAGGCCUGAGAAUUAGUCUCAUUCAAUAGUAUUCCAUGAGUUCUGAUGAUUCGAGUUCUCUCUUAACCGAAUUUCUCGCUGGAGGCGAUUCCUUUGUCCAUUUCACCUGAGAUUGAAGUGGAUGUACCCCAUUAUUGGUGAAACAAACCCCAGUGGUCGAAUCCUUACGAAUUUGACUAGAAGUUGAUCAAAAAUGCAUAUUCGACUCAAGCGACUCCAUUGGAGUUCCAUCAAAUUGCGCCUCUCGAUUCUGACUCAUUACAACGGUGAAAUUGGCUGAUUUUUGGAUAUGUGAUGGAUGUUGAUGCAACGUAUUCAUUGCCAUUAUCAUUUCUUCAAGAUUCCACACAGAAAUUCCUUGGUAAAUAUUUGCUUGAUCUUUAUCGAACUCCCCUUCCAAAUUCGUAGUUUUCAUCGCAUCUUUUACUUGCAAUUUUGAGGCAUUCUAAGAUUGAUCUUGGAGCGUGUUCUGUUGGGGUUUGUAUCCAUCUCCAAGGUGCUUCUUUUGGCUUUGGUCCGGAAGCCAUCUGACCCCCACCGGCAAUGCAUGCGCCGUUACGGUGGUGCACUUGCCUGACUGUUCUAUAUCCGUUGUGUGAGAGAGAAAGUGUCCGUUAGAGAGAGAAUAUACUAGAGAGAUAAAAAAAUCUAGAAAAUGGGGCUCAAUUCCAUAUUUUAGGCUUAGGUUAUCGGGUUAAUGGUUUAGGUUAGGCUUAGGGUUAAGGAUAGGGAUAGGGUUUGGAUUAUGGUUUGGGUUAGGGUUUAGGUUAAUUUUUAGUUUUUAGGAUUUGUGGCUCAGUAUUUGAUGUUUUAAAAUUAAUGGUUUAGUGUUUAAUGUUUGGGUUUUUUUAUUUUGGACAUAGGGUUUAGGGUUUAGAAUUUAGGGUUAGGGUUAGGGUUACGAUUAGGACUAGGGUUAGGGUUUGGGUGUAGGUUUUUUUUAGGUUGUAUGAUUUAGGGUUUAGCAUUUCAGGUUUAAAAUUUAUGGUUUAGUCAUUAAUAUUUCGGUUCUAGUAUUUUUGACUUAGGGUUUCGAGUUUAUUAUUUAUGGUUAGGUUUUGGGAUUUUUUAGGUUUUAGGGUUUAGGAUUUAGGAUUUGAGGUUUAUUAUCAAUGGUUUAAUGUUUAAUAUUUGGGUUUUGGUAUUUUCGUCUUUGGGUUAGGGUUAGGUUUUAGGUUGUUUUUAGGUUUUACGGUUUGGGGUUAAGGAUUUGAGUUCUAAUAUAUAAGGUUUAGUGUUUAAUGUUAGGGUUUUAGUAUUUCUGGUAUUGUGUAUAUAGUUAAGGUUAGGGUUCAUGUUAGUGAUAUUUUUGGAUUAGGGUUUAGGUUUUGGUAUUUAGGGCUUGGGGUUUUGGGUUAAUGGGUUAGGGUUUUGGUUAGGGAAUAGGUCUUAUUAGUUUUUUGGGUUUGUUGUUUAUGAUUUGAGGUUUAAAAUUUAUGGUUUAGUGUUUAAUGUUUGGAUUUUUGUAUUAUGGACUUAGGGUUUAGGGUUUAGGAUUUAUAGUUAGGGUUAGGAUAAGGGUUAGAGUGUAAACUUCUUUUUAGGUUUUAUGGUUUUAUAUUUUAGCAUUUGAGGUUUAAAAUAUAUGGUUUAGCACUUAAUGUUUGGCUUUUUGUAUUUUGGGCUUAGGGUUCUGGUUUUAUUGUUUAGGAUUAGGUUAGGGUUAGGGUUUUGCUUUUUUUAGGUUUUUGGGUAUAACAUUUAGGAUUGAGGUUUAGCAUCUAUGUUUUAGUGUUUGAUGUUUGGUUUUUGGUAUUUUGGUCUUGGGGUUUAGCGUUUAUGGUAGGAUUACAGUUAGGGUUAAGGUUUAGGUUUAGGGUUUGUGGUUAAGGAUUUGAGUUGUAAUAUCUAUGGUUUAGUGUUUAAUGUUAGGGUUUUGGUAUUUUAGACUUUUGGUAUAGGCUUUGGAUUAGGGUUUAGGGUUAGGGUUCGUGUUAGGGAUAGGGUUUAGGGUUUUUUUAAGUUUUAGGUUUUGAGGUUUUGGAUUUUGGUUUAAAAUCUAUGGUUUAAUGUUUAAUGUUUGGGUUUUGGUAUUUUGGGCUUGGCGUUUUUGGUAAUGGCUUAGGGUAAGGGUUUGGGUUUGUAUUUAGAUCUUUUUAAUGUUUUAAGGUUUAUGGUUUAGGAUUUGAAGUUUAAAAUCUAUGGUUUAUUGUUUAAUGUUUGGGUCUUUGUAUUUUGGGCUUAGUUUUUUUUACUUAGGGUUUAGGGUUUACGUAUAGAGGUAGGGUUAGUAUUAGUGUUAGGGUGUUGUUUUUUUUAGCUUUUAUGGUUUACGGUUUAGCAUUUUUGGUUUAAAAUCUAUGGUUUAGUAUUAAAUAUUUUUAUUUGGGUGUUUGGGCUUUUUUUAGAAAAUAAAUUACCCUUGAAGGGGUAGGGACUGAGCAUCACCCGCAGGCCUUAUCAUUAUUUUAAAAAAAAACAAAAUACAAGGAGGGGGGGCAUAACCUAACCUGCAACCUACGAUAGUUUAAAGUCAUCUUUCAAAAAUAAAGUCAACUCCUCCCCUUACAGUAGAAGAUGAAACCAAAAUACUAAGAACCUAAGGUGAGGGCUCCUCUCAUUACAUAGUAUCUAGGAAGCAUAAAUAAGAAAGACUCUCCCUUUACAUAAUCAAAGGAAGACUAAAACUAAUCUAUUCAAAGAAGCUAUAAUUCAAAAUAAUAGCUAAGUUGAAAAGAUGAACUAAUCUCAAGGAGGCUCAAAAAUCUCCUUUGACUUCUUCCUUUUAAAGUUAGGCAUCUCCAAUAAGUCAAGCUGAUAGUGAGACUUUGCUUAUUUAGGUGGUUGAUGAUUGUUGAAAUAUACCUGAGGAGUGGCAGUUUUGUGGCUGUGUUUUGACUAUGUAUCUGCUACACAAUUUGCUUCUCUAAGCAUAUGAAUGCAUUUGAAACUGUUGGCUUGAGUAAUAAGAUGUUGCAACCUUCCAAUAUAAGUGAUGAUACUCCGUUGUGGGGCUGCUAUCUGUAAGAUCCAAUGGACCACCAAUUGAGAAUCAUGUUCUAGUAAAAUGUUCCUGUAGCCAAGCUCAAGUGCCCAAGCUAAACCAAAUAUGGCAGCUUCAAUUUCAGCUCUAUUGUUUGUUCCUUCUCCAAGAGGUGUUUAGAAGGCCAUUACCAGCUUGCCUUCUUUGUCCCUAAGAAUACCUCCAGCCCCAAGUUUGUCCGGGUUGGUGAGUGCACUUCCAUCUGUAUUCAUCUUAAUCCAUUGAUCUGGUUGUUUGUUCCAUGUUACCAUGCUCACUUUGGUGCUGUGAAUGCACCUUUCACUCUUUUGUAGUAAAUCAAUCCACUUUGCAGGCCAUUGGAGAUGUGGAAAUGUACUAUUAAGAAUUUUGAAGUUGUCUUUGUAGACUGCAUACUUCACCCUGCUCAUUUUAGUUGUUUUACCUCCAUACUUGCAUGAACACCAAUUCAUCCACAUGUUCCAGGAAAUGAAAAUUGGAGCAGCUUGUGGGCCGCAUUUUUCAACUUGACGGUCCACCAUUGCUGUAGCAGCUGCUGCAGUGAAGAGUGGUGCAGCUGUAGGCCUGCACGGCCUGCAAAAAAUUCAAAACCUUGGCUGCAUUGUCCUAAAUAGAAUGUGUGUUCUAUGUUGUCCAUACCAGCCCUAUCAAGACAACAAAAACAAUGUGACAGCUCAAUGCCAAAAUUAGUCAAUCUUUCAUUAGUAUGGAGUUUACCCCUUAGGGUUCUCCAUAAAAGAAAAGAAGAUUUAAAGGGAAUGUUUUUAUGCCAUAUCAUUGAAUUAAAAUGAUUCUUAGCUCUUUUGUUCCCGAUUUCCUCCCAUGCUGAAGAGAAACUAAAGCUGCCAUGGUUAAUGAGAUUCCAGACAGCUUUGUCUGGAAGAUGAUGCUGUGGAGAGAACUCUAUAGCCAAAAUGUUGGAGAACUUACUAGCAGGGGCCUGUUCUACAGUUUGCUCCAACUCCACUUCCCAUCUUCCCAGAAUUCAACCAGUGUAGCAUUGUUAAAUAUGUUGCUAUUGGUGGUGUGAUGAGCCAGUGGCCCACUGUCAAGCCAGUUAUCCCACCAAAAGGAAGAAUUUCCAUCUUGAAGUUUCUAAUGGAUGUGCUUCUCAACAUUCAGUCUAUUCAUUAGCAUAUGUUUCCAAGUAAAUGACUCCCCAGUAUCCCAUUUUUUGUUUAGAUGGUUUGAUCUUUGACAAUAUGUUGCUCUCAAAAAAUCUCCCCACCUAGUUUGUUUUGUUCUAAGGUCCACCACUGUUUGAAUUGGAAGGAUUUGCAGAUAUCUUGUCAGUUUCUCAUUCCUAUCCCCCCUUCAUCGUAGGGGUAGCCUAGAUUUUUCCAUGAAGCCGAGUGAUACUUCUUUUUAUCACUCAUCCAUCCCCAGGAAAAGUUAGCUAUAAGCCCUGGGAUUUUCCUGAGUACUGUGGCUGGAGGUGUCACUACAUAUAGAAGGUCGAUAUGGACAGCCUGUAGAACAUGUAUUGUAAGGAUUUCCUUGCCUCCAUAGCUUAAUUGUUUUGUUUGCCAACCUGUAAUCCUGUAAAUAAGCUUGUUAACAAGAUCAGAGAAAUAUAUAUUCCUAGGCCUUCCAACAAAUAGAAGGCUGCCUAGGUAAUUAAUAGGACCUUGCUUUUGUUUGAAACCUAUCAGCCUCUUAAUUCUAUCUCUAGUGCUAUUGAAAGCGUCAGAUUGUAGCAUAAAGAGGCUUUUGUCCCCAUUGAUGAGUUGACCUUGCACCUUCCAGAUGUAAAUAAAAUUAUGUCAUCAACAAAACUCAAAUGAUUCACUUCAGCCCCUCUCACUUCCAUGAAGAAACCAUGAUAAAUCGGAUGGUUGUGAAGCCUGUUUAGAGAUUUUGAAAGUACAACUGCACCUAAAAUAAAUAGGGCAGGGGAAAGAGGAUCAUCUUGCUUGAGACAUCUAGUUAGGUGAAAGAAACCAUACCUCUUACCAUUAACAAUGAUUGAGUACCACUUGUUAGCCAUGAUUCUUCACACUAUACAAAUAAAAACCUCAUCAAACCCCAUCUUUCAUAGAACUAGGCAAAUAUAGGACCAUGACACCCUGUCAUAAGGUUCUGCCAUGUCUAGUUUAAUGAUUACAUUGCUACCAAUAUAGGGUUUUUUGAUUGGGUGAAUGGUUUCCUGAGCUAUCAUGAUGUUCUCAUAAAUUCUUCUACCUUUAACAAACUCGGAUCGGUUAGAAGAGAUUAAGGUAGGGAGGAUAGUACUACGUCUAAUUCUCAUUAGCUUAGAUAUGAUCUUGCGAGUGAAGUUGCUCAAACUUAUAGGCCUAUACUUAGUCAUCUUGUUUGGAUUGUUCACUUUAGGGAGCAACAAAAUGCAAGAAUAGGAAAAGUAUUUUUAAAUCAUCUGUCCAUUGAAAAAAGCCUGUACAACCCCCAUUAGAUCAUUCUUGAUAAUAUGCCAACACUUAUGAAAGAAAUACCCAUUCAUAAAAUCAGGGCUAGCUGCUGAAUUAGGAUUCAAAAAAAAGACCACCUCUAAGGUCAGUCGUAUGGUCAACCAACCCCUCAUGCGGAACAUGAGGCAAACACCCCCUUUUGGUAACCCCAUCCUGCAAGUUAGUGGUUUUCUCCUCACACCCCCCAUCCAUACCACCAACAACUUCUUCAAUAAAACCAUCAUCAAUAAUAGUAAUGUUGGGGGAUUGGGACUUGGGAAGCAUAGAGUCAAUACCUCUGCUCUUGUUAUUGUAAUCUGCAGCAGUCUGCUGCUUUUGUUCUUUGUUUAUGUUGCUUCUUUUUGUGCAAGCUGAGCUGUUAUUAGCCCCCCUUUUUUUAAUUCUGUUGUGUUACUUCUCCACUGUUGUGAUCCUCCACAUUAUUGUCUGUCCUUUGUUGUUCCUAUAUUUCAAAGUUAGUGAAAAUAUUUUGAGUUGGGAUAUUAGUCUUACCUGUUGUUUUCUAUUCUUGCUGAUGGUUGUCCCUGAUUUUUUGUGUUUGUGGUGAAACUGGUCUCCAAAAAGACUUGGAGUUAGUAGUUUCCUGAUUUUUGUGCAAUUUCAUUCUUUAAGUAUGCCAUUGUUCAUCCUGCAACUCUACCUACUGGUCUUGUUCAUUCUGAUUGAAGGUGGUUUUCCCAUGUUGAUGGUGCUUGUAAGUUGUUUCCUUGACUUAUUCUGGUUUUCCUCCCUAUUCUGCUGAUUUUGUUUCUUUGCAGCUGCCUCAUUUGUAAUUUUUUUUCCUGUUCUUGAGCAUGUUUGUUUCUAGUCUGCUCCUUAUUCUUUUUUUCUAGAUUCUAACUCCUUUCUUUUCUUGAACUUAUCAUCCCUCAUCUUGAUUGAAAAUUCUUUUUCCAUACGUCCUUGAUGCUUAUAGUGUAGACAAUAAUUAGGAAUUUAACCAUCUUUUUUUGUUGGUGUCUGAGUUUUUAAAUCCUAGCCAAACAUGAGAAGGUCUAGCUUUGGUAAGAUACACUUGAACUUUAACUAUAGUAGAUCUACCUCUACUCCUUUGGGAGGUUGGUGAGUCAAGGAAAAGUACCUUCCUAAUAGAUUCCAAAAUAGUAGUCAAUAACACUUGUUGUAAAAGAGCUAAGGAAGUCGUGGAAUAGCCACCUCGGUGUAAAAUCUGGGGUCGAAGCCUGGAUUCUCAUCACUUUUCCCUUAAUAUUCAUACUAUGUUUUGUCCAAAAAGUUUGGUAAUCAAACUCAUUGUCCAAGUAAAAGUACACAUGCCUAGAAUUGAAGUGUGUGAUCUUCACAAUCCCCUUAAGUUGAGUUUUGAGGGUGAAUAUUUUCCUAACAAGCUCCAUUUUCGGCAUUGUAUUCGUAAACUUUCCCAUAAAAGUAUAAUUACAAACUUCCGCCAACUUCACAUAAUAAUCAUUUUCAUCCAUAGUACCACAUGAAAACCUUGUCUAGUAGUAUGUAUUGUAUUAUUCACAACAAUUGGGAUUUCAUUUUUUGCUUUGUUAUAUCUCAAUCUAGCAACAAAUGAUUGUACAACUGUAUAGGGCGCUGGUUCUAAAUUUUUCUCAUUUUUCAGAUUGUUGGUAUGUUGAAGCUUUUGUUGGCUAUUAGAGUAUCUAGCAGCUGCCUGAACCACAUUAGUUUCCUGCUUAUUACUUCUAUCAGAUUGAAGAUUAGAUUCAUACCAAUAGUAGUUCCUUCAUAAUUUUGGAAAGUUAUUGUGAUAUUCCACAUUUGUUCGAUUGGUUUGGUUUAAUGGAAUGCUUUCUCCUUGCUUGUAGGUGUUCCUAGCCUGAUCAGUUUGCUUUUAUCCUUUCCUUGACCCUCAUCUGAACUGUGCUUGCAGCACUCCCAGUCUGCUGCGUUUCCUUGCCUGAGUGCUCAUGUUUUUGGCUUCAUUGUUCUUGCCUUAGAAUUUUUAACAUCCCAUGUUCUUUGCCUUUCUCCUAUUGGUUGGUUAUAGUCUGUGAAUUACCUUCAUUCAAAUUGGGAGUUUGGUAAGAAGACUUACCUACAAAGACAAAUGAAAAGUUAGAUGAUGACGUUUCAUUUGAUGAUGAUGUUGUAUGCUUCCUCAAUGUGUUCUUGGUAUUGUCCCGCUGCUCAAUCGAGUUUUCCCCAUGUUGAAUUUCUGUUCUUUAUCCUUUUGAAGUUUUUUUGGAUUGACUAGGAGACCUCAACAAUGUUUUUUGUGCAGCACUUCAAUCAAACAUGGGGUUCUCCCCUUCGCUUCCUUGUUUUUCAUAUUGCGAUUUCCACUUAGGAUCAGUGGUGGAUGUUCGAUUGUUGUUGUUGUUUAUUUCUCUCUUGAGUUUGUUUGAAAUAUCAGUAAGAUGGAUAUUAUUGGCCUGAGAGUCAGUCCCCUCUGAUGAAUCUGCAUGAUUUCCGACAUUUGGAGCUCUAUUUUCGCCGGAAAUCACCCCCCGACGAUUUCAAUCCAUUUCACUUGAAAUUUUAGUGAGAUGGACCUUAUGUUCAGGAGAACAACCCCAAUUUUUGAAACAUUACAAAUUUGACUAGAAGACGAUCGAUUCUUGGUGCGCAUCUCAGUUAACGCACUCGCGAUUUUUUUGAAAGUCGCCUUUCAAUUCUCAUUAAUUGCAGAGAUGGAAUUCGUUAAUUUUUUACUAUGUUGUAGAUAUUGAUGAGGGGAAUCCGUUUCCAUAACUCUUUCUCCCCAAUUCAACUCAGAAUUUCCUUGGGAAAUGAUUUCACGUUCUCUAUCAAAUGCCAUUUCUAAAAGUGCAGUAUUCAUUUGCGAAUUUGGGUAGAUGUGAAAUGGAUCAUGGUACGUGAUGCACUGGGGUCUGUUUCUCUUUUAAGGGAGAACCUGAUGGAUUUGGUCCUGUGGCCGUCUGAGCUCUACCGGUGGCACACGAGCCAUUGCAGCGAUGCGCCUACGUGCCUGUUUAGUAUCCAUAUUGAGAGAUCGGUGGUAGGCCGACGUUGAACGUUUCAACUUGGCCACUGAAGAAGGCGAAGGCUGGGCGAGAGGCGUUUUAGAGGAGAGAGGAAAAAAUUCGGAAAAUGAGGUGACUUGGUAUUUUGGGCUUAGAGUUUUGGUUUUAUGGUUUAGGGUUAGGGUUAUUGUUAGGAUUAGGGUUUUGGGUUUUUAUUAGGCAUUUGGUUUUGGGGUUUAAGAUUUUUUUCUUAAAGUCUGUGGCUUAGUGUUUAAUGUUUGGUUUUCGUAUUUUUGACUUAGUUUUUUUUUGGACAUAGGGUUAGGGUUUACGGUUAGGUUUAGGGUCAGGAUUAGGAUUAGGGUGUAGUUUUUUUUAUGUUUUAUGAUUCAAGGGUUAACAUUUGAGGUUUAAAAUCUAUGGUUUAGUAUUUAAUGUUUAGGUUUUUUUUAGGCAUAGGGUUUUGGGAUUAAGGUUUAGGGUGAGGGUUAAGGUUAAGGAUAGGGUUAGGGUUAUGGUUUGGGUUUUUAUAGAUUUUUUUGUUUAGAAUUUAGGAUUAGACAUUUAAUAGCAAUGGUUCACUAUUUAAUGUUUGGAUUUUUUUAUUUUGGACUUUGGGUUUAGGAUUUUUGACAGGUUAGGGGUAGGGUUAAUGUUAGGAUUAGGGUUAGGGUUCAGGUUGUUUUAAAGGUUUUAUGGUUCAGAGUUAAGGAUUUAAGAUGUAAUAUAUGUGAUUUAGUGUUUAAUUUUAGUGUUUUCGUAUUUUGGGCUUUGGGUUUACGAUUUAGGGUUUGUGUUCAGGAUAGGGUUAGGUUUAGGGUUCGUGUAAGGGAUAGUUUUAGGGUAGGUUUAGGGUUCGUGUAAAGGAUAGUGUUAGGAUUAGGGUUUAGGGUUUUUUAGGUUUUAGACUUUGGGGUUUAAUAUUCAUUUAAAAAAUCUAUGGUUUAGUGUUUGAUAUUUGGGUUUUCAUAUUUUGAGCAUAGGAUUUCUUUUAUGCAGAGUUCAGGGUUUACGGUUUAGGUUAUGUUAAGUUUAGGGUUGGGUUGUAGGUUUUUUAUAGGGUUUAUGGUUCAGGAUUUAGCAAUUUUGAGGUUUAAAAUCUAUGGUUUAUUAUUUAAUGGUUGGGUUCUUAUAUUUUGGACUUAGGAUUUCGGUUUUAUUAUUUAUGGUUAGGUUUUUUUUUUUAGGUUUUUGUAUUUAGGAUUUAGGAUUUGAGGUUUAUUAUCAACGGUUCGGUGUUUAAUGUUUGGGUUUUACUAUUUUGUUCUUUGGGUUUACGGUUAGGUUUUACAUUGUUUUUUUGGUUUUACAGUUUGGGGUUAAGGAUUUGAGUUCUAUUAUCAAUGGUUUAGUGUUUAAUGUUAGGGUUGUAGUAUUUUCUGUAUUCGGUUUAGGGUUAGGGAAGAGUUCAUGUUAGUGAUAUUGUUAGGAUUACGGUUUACGUUUUUCUUUAGGUUUUAGGUUUUCAGGUUUUGCCUUUUUAUAUUUAAAAUCAAUGGUUUAUUGUUUAAUGUUUGGAUUUUUGUAUUUUGAGCUUUUAUUUUUUUGUAAGUUGAAUUACCUUGGAGGGGUAGGGGCUGAGCAUCCCUCCUAGGCCUUAUCAUUAAUAACAAAAAUAAAAUACAAGGAGGGGGACAUAAUCCUAACCUCCAACCUAAGAUGGUUUGGAGUCAACUUCUCAAAAGGAAAUCAACUCCUCCCCUUACACGAAAGAUGAAACCAAAAUACUAAGCACCUAAGGAGAGGACUACUCUCAAUACAAAGUAUCUAGGAUGCAUAAACUAGGGAGACUCUCCCUUUACAAGAAAGCCUAUAAACUAAAGUAACCUAUUUAAAGUAGCUAUAAUUUUAAUUAUAGCUAAGUUGAAAAGAUGUACAACCUCAAGGAUGCUCAAAAAUUCUCUUUGUCUUCCUUCUUCAAAAGUUCGGCAUUCCCAAUAAUUGAAGUUGAUAGUAGGCUUUUGCUUCAUUUGGUAGAUAGUGGCUGUUGAGAAAUACCUGAGGUGUGGUAAUGUUGUGACUAUGUUUUUACAAUGCAUCUGCUACGCAAUUUGCUUCUCUGAAUACAUGAAUGCAUUUGAAGAUGUGUACUUGAUUUAUAUGAUGUUGCAGCCUUCCAAGUUGAUUGAUGAUACUCCAUUGCGGGACUUCCUUCUUUAGGACACAUUGUACUAUUAGUUGAGAAUCAAGUUCCAAAAUUAUGUUCCUGUAUGCAAGCUCAAGUUACCAUGUUAAAUGAAAGAUGGUUGCCUCUAUUUUAGCUUUGUUGUUUGUUCCUUCUCCAAGUGGUGUUGUGAAAGCCGUCACAACUUUGCCUUGUUUUACUCUCACGAUUCUCCCAGCCCCCAGCCUACAAGGGUUCUUUAGUGCACUUCCAUCAGUGUUCACUUUGAGCCAUUGAUCUGCAGGUUUAACCCACUUCUCCAUGCUCUCUGUGAUGUCAUGGACACACUUUUCUUUCUUUUUGCGUUAAGUCUGUCCACUUGGCCGGCAAGUUAAGUUGAGGAAAUGCAGUGUUCAAAAUCUUGUAGUUGUCCUUGUAGAUUGCAUAUAUAACUGUGCUGAUGUUUGUUGAUUUACCUCCAUACUUGCAGGCACACCUGUUCUUCCACAGAUUCCUGUAAAUGAAUAUUGGCGUAGCUUGUAGCAACAGUUUUUGGGCUGCAUUUCUAGGCUUGGUUUUCCACCACUGUUGUAGCAGUUGCUGUUGUGAAGAGUGUUCUGGUUGUAGGCCUGCACUACCUACAAAAAAGUUCCAUACCUUGUAUUGCCUCCUCACUUUUCCUAAAAGUAAGGUCAAAGAUAAGAGAUUGAUGUGAAGGAAAAAUCCCUUACUCACUACUCUCUUAUGGUGAUCUAAUAAGUUUAAUCAACUUUGUAGCCAUGGAGCUUUGCACUAAUCUCAAGAUAAAGGAACAGCUUAAGAAGGAUAAAAAGUUUUUGGUUUUCGAGCAUGGCAGCUUCUGUCAAGACUUUGGAUUUCCAAUUCUUAAACCACCUUCAGCAAGAAUUGUUUCAAAACUGAAAUUUAAUUCUUCAAAUGGUUUGAAUGAUCCGGCCUAAUUGUUGAAACAAAUUCAUCACUUCAAGUUUUGAUAAACAAGUGGCAUACCAAAGAUAAGGUUGCCGAAAGUAUAACUCCUCCUCUAGAAGGUAUUCACAUUCCUUUCAAAAAAGAAGUUUAAUAGCAAGUUAGAUUAAACAAAUAUGGAGGCAUUCAAAAUCCUUUUUAUAUCUAUCAAUAUCGGCAGCAACUAGCAGUUUGAUAGUAACUAAUGAAUUAUUAAUAGCAGAAGUUGACUCACAAGUCUUGAUAUUGUAGUUCUUAAACAAGUUAAAAUUACCUAUUUGGUAAAUCUUUUUAAAAGGUUCUUUGGAAAUAGACCAAUUUUGCAAUCUUUUUUCUUCUUUAGAUAUAGAAGCGCUAUUAACAAUAUGAUUAUUCAUAAUUUUACAAUUCUUUUCUUUAGGCUUGAGAGAAGUCACUUAUUACCAUUAACAGAUACUUAUGUUAACAGAGCUUAACCUUAUUAUGUGAACAUGAAUAUUGGUAAAACAAAUUAAUUGAAUUGUAACAAGGAUCAUUAGAUUCAACUAAGGAUUAACAGUGAUAUAAAAAACUAAAUUUGCCUUGGAUAUUACUCAUUCUUUGGCAAGUCAUGUUGCAGGACGGAACACCAAAAGAUCUUUUUCCUGCCCUUAAGGCCUUACGGACUUACAACGAUCUAAUUUCAGGCUUACCAAGUCCUUAAGCCGGAGAUUAAUCGGCAUACUAAGACUUAUGAAGAGAAGAAACCUUAGCCUUUAACUUGUUUUAAUCAGAGUUAAUAACAAGAUGAAAAUAAUAAUCACUAAGUCAAAAUUCUAUAAAUUGCUUUAACCAAGAUUAAGAAACAUCAGCAAGUAUUGUAACUAAGUUAAAAUUAAGUUAUCUAUUCCUAAAGAACCUUUUCAAAAGAUUAACCAAAUAGGUAAUUUUAACUUGUUUAAGAAUUACAAUAUGAAGACUUGUGAGUCAGCCUGUGCUAUUAAUAAUUCUUUAGAUACUAUCAAACUAUUAGUUGUUGCCGAUAUUGAUAGAUAUAAGAAGGAUUUUUAAUUCCUUAAUAUUGGUUUAAUCCAACUUGCUGUUAAACCUCUUUUCUGUAAAUGUCUGAAUAUUCCUAUAUGUUUAAUUCUUGUGAUACUAGACUUCUCAAUUUUGAUGACUUUUUUGUUAGGUGUCCUUGAAACUAACCUAUCUAAUGGCCCAGUCUAUUUUAAUUGUUAUCCAAAUUUCUCGGUUGGCAUCGACGACCCUAAUCUCAUAGAUACCUUGACUCUUAAUGUCAAAACCAAAAAUAUGAAUAGCAAAAUUGACACUAGAGAAAUAGUUGUAAUAUACAGUGUAUAUUACAAGCUUAUGAAGACUACAGUAGCCCCAAAGGUUAUUAACUAUAGUGCUAAAGGAAUCACGAUGCUCAUGCAUGCAAUCCAAGAACACGGUACUACCUUUGUUCCUUGUUUUCUUAAAUUGGAUGAGAUUCUUUCCAAUAAUGAGUGAAAUUUGAAUCUAUUACUGAACCCCUUCCCAUUCAACCUUCUAGGUCUUCGCUAGAAUGUAUUACCCAGUUUUGAGACGGAUCUAUUAACCUUAAGUUUUUAAGAUCCAACUCUUUCAACCAACACUCUUAAAGUUGAAGAAUGUCUUUGGUUAGAACGUCUUCUUCAAAACAAAGAAGAUGAUGAAAUUUCUGAUGUUUUUGAAGAUUUAGAACAAAGUAAAUUUCAAGGUGUGCAUUUUACCAACACUAUUCCUAAAUUCUAUUACGAAUCAACUCAAAGAAAUCCUUCUCUCAAUGACAUGAGACCUUCUUUCCAUAGAAAAAAAGACUCAGUUGGUGUUAUCAAAUCUACAGAGAAUUUUACUCCAGAUAUAAAGAAAAUUAGCAAGUGGUGGAACAACCCAAAGCAUGCUCUUAAAAAGGAUUGGUAUGUUGACACAUAUACAAAAGACCAGAGAAUCUCAUUCAGAGACAAAUUGUUCAAAGACAUGAAGAGAUUCAAAACUGAAAUUGAAUUCUUCAAAUGGUUUGAAUGUUCCGGCCAAAUUGAUGAAAUCAAUUCAUCACUUCAGAUUUUGAUAAAAAAAAGUGGCAUACCAAAGAUAAGGUUGUCAAAAGUAUAACUCCUCCUCUUGAAGGUAUUCACAUUCCUUGCAGAAAAGAAGUCUUGAAAGCUGCUCCUUUCAAAAAGCCUACAGAUAGGACAACGACCCUAUAACUGUUGUAGAUAUCAACAAAAUAUUUGAACAAAAUAAUUAUACUAACUAAGUUAUUCAUGUUUUUUCUAAACAGAUAGGAGACUCCAGUUAUAAUUAUAGCGGUACCAGUCAGCUUGGUAAUAAACCCAGUUCUUCAAAAAAUUGUUUUAAUUUAGAAACCAUUCCCAUUUUUAAAAUCCAUGAGUUCUCUCCUGAAGCUUUUUCUAAACCUUCUAAUAAAUUCAAUAACUCUCCCGAGAUUCUUGAAGGAUCAAUGACCAGCUCUCAAAGCUCAAAAUAACUCAUGGCGGAAAAAUCAACACUCUUAAAGAUAGGCUCCCCUAUUCCAAAAACCUUUAUCCUAGAACCUCUUUUCCCGAUGUUCAACUCGAAGAAAAACAUAUGGACCCUCAAGGAAUUGCAGAUGGAAAGGGAAUUACAGAAUGGAAUAUAGAUGAAAUGGUGGAUGGCCAGAUCCACAACAAACUUGAUGAGAUGGGCAUGAAUGUCACAACUUAUAAAUGGAAGAUUUCCAUGGACAAGUAAGCUGCUUACAUGUUAGUAGUAGGUUUCGUAGGAACUCUUAGAAAUAUGUGGGACAAUUAUCUCACAAAUCUAAAUAGAGCUGACAUUCUUGAUUCUAUAGCAAACAAAUCAGUUGUCGAAAUUGGAGGACCAACUUCUACAUCUAUAGAAGCAGUAGAAGAUACUACGACUACUCUUGUCUAUAGUAUUGCUAAGCAUUUUGUGGGAGAACCACACCUUUUCCUAGAUAGAAGUUUAGAGAUUCUAAACAAUCUUUACUGCAAGAAAUUAACUAAUUUCAGGUUGUAUAAAGAUAUGUUUAUAACCAAAGUGAUGAUAAGGGAAGAUUUCAACAACGACUAUUGGAAAGAACGUUUCCUUAGUGGAUUACCUCCCCACUUUUCCGAAAAAGUAAGGUCAAAGAUAAGAGAUCGAUGUGAAGGUAAAAUCCCUUACUCACAUAUCUCUUAUGGUGAUCCAAUUUGUUUAAUCAACUUUGUAGCCAUGGAGCUUUGCACUGAUCUAAAGCUAAUAGAAAAACUCAAGAAGGAUCAAAAGUUUUUGGUUUCCGAGAAUGGAAUAUUCUAUAAAUACUUUGGGUUUCAAAUUCAUAAACCACCUUCAGCAAGAAAGGUUUCAAAAAAAGAGCGAUCUGGAAAAUCGCCAGAUUGUAAAAAAUCCCCUAGAAGGAAAAAACACUUAAAAAAGAGAAGUAAACAUACUUCUCAAAAGGAUAAGUGUUGGACUUGUUGAAAAUAAAUACAUAACUCUCCUGAUUGUCCCAAAAACAAAAGAAAAAUGAAGAAGAUCAACCUUCUUGAAGUAGAAGAAGAAACUAAAAAGCAGUUUCUCUCUGUCUUAGACGAAUAAGAGUCAGAAUCUGAACACUCUUCUGAUAGUGAAACUAAAGACGAAGAGUUUCUUAAUGUAGCUCAAAACACAGAUGACAGUAUUCCAGAGUGAAACUCUUAAUGAGCCUUUUGCCUAUGCGACAAUCAGUCUGUAAGGGUUAUCUCUGAAGAUUCAGUUGAAAUAUUAUUUGCAACAAUUGAGCAUAUCAAAGAAGAUGAGCUCGAAGAAGUUAUUUAUUGGAACUUCAAAAACUAGUUAGUAAACGAAAAGAAAAGGAGCUUACUACAAGUGUAAUUCAUUCAGUAUGAAACACAUUAUGAAUAGAUUUGACAAUAACACGGAUGAACUUUCUAUAGGUGAGCUGCGAUCAGAAGUCAAUCUUCUUAAACAAGAAAUCAGAGAAGUCAAAUCUAGAAUUCAUAAAAUCUAAAUUGAUGCCCUAAUAAAAGUAAUCCUAAAAGAAGUAGAAGGUACAUCUAAAGGAAAAGAACUGACUCAUUCGGAUAAUGAGGAAAAUGGUUUCGAAGAAUUUUCAUCCCCCGGAGAUGAAACUGAGGUAGGUGUAAACAUGAUUACAAAAAUUAGACCUCAAAGUUCUCACAUCCUUAAAAAAUUAAUCAUUAAUAAUAAUUAUGUUGUCAAAAGAAUUUCUUUGUUAAGCAGUGGGGCAGAUAGAAAUUGCAUUAUUGAAGGUUUAAUCCCUACUAAGUACCAUCAAUAGGGAACCACCAAGCUAUAUAGCGCAACUGGUGAGCGUAUUCUUAUUAAUUAUAAAUUAUCCAGUGCCCAUAUUUGCAACAAUGGUAUUUUUCUUUCUAAUGAUUUCGUUAUCACUAAAAAUAUUAACGAAGAAAUCAUUUUAGGAAUUGUUUUUAUCACUCAGAUAAAACCUUAUAUUUAAGAUUUUGAUUAUAUCAAAAUAAAAAUUUUGGGAAAAGAAAUUUCAUUUCCCUUUAUAAAAACACUUUCUCUUGAAGAAAAUUUUUUUUUACACAAACAAUCUGCUUUCAAAAUAAACCAGAUUUGUUUUUAUUAAAGAAUAUAUCAAAAUGAAGAAAAUAGAGCAAAUUUUAAGAAUCCCGGGAAUGAUAGCUAAAAUUGCUAAUCUUCAACAAACUUUUGAAAGAGAAAUUUUCUCUCUAAGUUUCCAAAUGCUUUUUUGGCCAGAAAGAUCCACAUUAUAGAUUUACCAUAUAUUGAUUUUUUUAUGAAAGUGUCAUUUCGACGAAAGCUAGGCCUAUUCAGAUGAACCAUGAACUAAUGGAAAUCUGUAAAAAGGAAAUUAACUCUCUUUUGGCUAAUAAAAUUAUUAGACCUUCUAAAUCUCCUUGGAGUUGUUCAGCGUUUUAUGUUAACAAUGUAGCUGAGCAAGAACGAGGUUCUCCAAGACAUGUUAUAAAUUACAAGCCUUUAAACUCAGGCUUGAAAUGGAUUCACUAUCCAGUUCCAAACAAAAGAGAUCUUUUAAAAAGAACUUUCAAGGCCAAUAUUUAUAGCAAAUUUGAUUUAAAAUCUAGUUUUUGGCAAAUUCAAAUUUCUGAGAAGGACAAAUAUAAAACUGCUUUCAAUGUCCUUUUUAGACAAUUUGAAUGGAACGUCAUGCCUUUUGGGCUUGAGAAUGCCCCUUCUAAAUUUUAAAAUAUAAUGAAUUCCUUUUUUAAUCACAUUAGCGAUAUAUCGAUUGUAUAUAUUGAUGAUGUAUUACUAUUCUUCGAGGACAUUGAUUCUCAUUUCAAACAACUUAAUUUUUUCUUCAAAAUAAUUAAGUACAAUGGUUUUGUCAUUAGUGCUAAGAAUAUAAAAUUAUUUCAAACACAAAUUAGAUUUUUAGGUCAUGAUUUGUAUCAAGGUACCUAUAAACCUAUUUGCAGGGCCAUUGCGUUUUCUAAAAAAUUCCCUGAUAUUGUCCUUGAUAAAACUCAGUGCAAAGGUUCUUAUGAAGACUUAAUUAUAUUGCCGACUUUAUCCCUAGAGUAAGACAAAUCUGUAAACCACUCUUUGACAGGUUAAACAAGGAUCCAUCUUUCUGGACUAACGAACAUACUAAAUUAGAUGUUCUUCUUAAAUCUAUGGUUAAAAACCUUCCUUGCCUAGGGAUUUCUAACCAAGACUAUUUUAUGAUUGUAGAGAAUUUUAUGAUUGUAGAGACGGAUGCAUCUGAUAUAGGAUUUGGUGGUAUCCUCACACAGAGGAGAACCCCAGAUUCAUCAGAACAAUUAGUUCAUUAUACUUAAGGAAUCUAGAAUUCAACUCAAAAGAAUUAUAGUACUGUUAAGAAAUAACUUCUUUAUAUAGUUAUCUGAAUCACUAAAUUCCAAGAUGAUCUUAUUAAUAAAGAAUUCUUACUUAGAGUAGAUUGCAAAUCUUCUAAAGAAAUUCUACAGAAAGAUGUUAAAAAUCUUGUCUCUAAACAAAUUUUUGCUAGGUGGCAAGCCUCAUUAUCCAACUUCGAAUUUCAAAUCAAAUUUAUUAAAGGAAAAUAUAAUCUUUGCUUGACUUUUUAACACGAGAAUUCUUGCAGGGAAAAUCAUCAUGAGGCCCUCUUCAAGAGCCAUAACAGGGAGCCCCUUCAAGAAUAAAGGAAAGAGUCCUGAAGGAAAACCUUCAGCAAAACUAUUUGCUAUCAGGCCAUUAUCGAAUGACCCAAACAAAUACUCCGCUUUAGCUAUCUUACAACCCAUAGACUUAGAAUUUUCAAUAACUCCUUUUCCUUCUCUGCCUCCGACCUCUAAUAAACCCUUUAAACAAAUUGUAGAACCUUGCUCACACUCGCCAUCAGGAUUACCCAGAUACUCUUUCCCCCAAACAAUAGAUUCUUACACCAUGAAAGCUCCUAAGAGCUUCAAAGAAGCAGUUGCACCAAGUACUGCUUCAACUACAGAUAAAACUCCAAAGGUAAAAGAAACCUUUGAAAUUAUGAAAAUUUUGAGGUAAAACAUCUUGUUAAACCUCUAUUUUCUAACAGAAAUUAUGUUGAUACUGAUAAUCCAUUAAAAACAAGAAAAUACUUCGAGUUCAUUCUUGUUGAUACUUGUCCAAUUGAAGUUGAACACAAACUUAAUGAAAACUUUGAUGUGACCAAGAGGGUCAUCCCAAGAUGGUUUUACGAAUGGUGGAACUGUUUUGGCAGUAAUAAACAAGUUCUGCCAAAAAACAUUGCUGAGAAAUUAAAUUAGUUUCACAUAGAUCAAGACAUAUCUUCUCUCCUAGAGAAUAUAAAAUUAUGUAAAUAUUUUAUUCCAAAAAGUAUUUUUUAUAUUAAUAGUUGGACUUUCUGUAUUGCAGAAUUGUACAGGAUAAAGUAUUUGUCAAGAGAAGUCCUGAUUAAAGGAUGGUCUCCAGCUCCAAAAGAAGCUGCAAAUCAUCAACCAAUCGAUCUCUAGAAGAUCUCCCCAGAAGACUUUAUCUGAGAAAGAACUGAAGAUAAGAUAACAAAGGCCUUGUCAGACUUAGACUCUGAAGAUAAUGAACAGUCUAUAAUGAAGCUCCUUGAAGAAGCUUCAUCCUCUCAUAGUGACAAUAAUGGAGAAAAACCUAAAGUUUUGGCACAGUCUUAUUUCGAUCCAUUUUAUGAUUAAUCACUAGUUGAGGGUAUUAAAAUCUGAAAUAACUAGUGUUUCAGAUAGAGACCCAGAAUAACUAGUGUUUCAGAUAGAGGCCAAUAGAGCUAGAAUUAUCUAGAAAGAAAAGGAAGAGUCCCAAAGAGAUGGAAUUUCCUUUUGAUAAAAUUAUUAAGUAGAAUUUUUCAGGACCCACAAAGCAUGAUCAACAAAGCAUUAUCAACAAUUAUGGCCGACAAAAGUGGCUGACGUAACCUUAUCAAAAGAUAAAGGUGAACAUACUUUUCAAAAGAAAAUGAAAUACUUUUUUUAUCAAAAGCAACGGACGGAAAUCAACAACCAAUCAGAAGAAGAGCUUUUAGAUUUCCCUUAUCCUUUCAAGAUUAUUUAAGACUUCAUCCUUAAAGAAGAAAUCGAAGACCGAAAAACCAACAAGGCACUUUGUAAUUUUUCAUCAAUGUUUUUACUUCUCUCUAUAUGUAAAUUCUGAAGCUUCCACAAUAUAUAUAGAAAAGUAAGUUUUUAUUUAUCUCUAUAACUUAUCUUUAUGAUCCUGAAAGUUAAAUGAUGACAUUGCUACCAAUAUUGGGUUUUUGGAUUUGGUGAAUGAGAGAUCAAGUCAGGGAGGAUAGGACUAAGUCUAUUGCUCAUUAGCUUAGAUAUGAUAUUUUUAGUGAAGUUGCUCAAACUUAUAGGCCUAUACACAAUCACCUUGUUUGGAAUGUUCACUUUAGGGAGCAGCACAAUGAAAGAAUGGGAGAAAUAUUUAGGAAUCAUUUCUCCAUUGAAAAAGGUCUGUACAACCCCCAUUAGAUCAUUCUUGAUAAUAUGCUAACACUUAUGAAAGAAAUACCUAUUCAUACAAUCAGGGCUAGCUGCAGAAUUAGGAUUCAGAAAAAAGACCACCUCUCUAAGAUCAUCCUUACUAGGAAUAUUUGUAAGCUGAAUAUUUUUGUCUUGAAUAAUCAUCCUUGGAAUACAUCAAAAGUAUGCUCAUUCAUAAGCUUUUCUUCACCAGUAAAGAUUUCUUUGAAGUGUUCACAAGCUACUUGAGCAAUGUUGUCAUCACCUUGUAUCAAGUUUCUAUUUUCAUUGACAACUUUAUGAAUAAAUAAUUUCCUUCUUCCUCCCCUCAUCAUAUAAUGGAAGUAUUUAGAGUUAGUAUCACCCUCCUUAAACCAUUGAAUCUGUGUUUUUUGUUUCAAAAUAGUGUCUUCAAACUUGAGAAACUUGAUGUACUUUGCAUUAAUUUCAUGGAGGAUACUUUUAUUUGAGUCACUUUGGUUAGUGAUGUAGUUUUCUUCAGCAUUGUGUACUUGUUCCUCAUACAUGCUACCCUUUUGGAAAAUAUCACAAAAUUCAUUCUUAGACCAACCACUAAGCGUGUUUGUCAACCUUUUCAUUUUUUGGUUAAAUCUCCACAUACCUGUACCUGCCACUUCCUUUUCCCAGCAGGUUUUUACUGUUUCCAUGUAUUUAGGUUUUUUCAUCCAACAGUUGAUAAAUCUGAAAUAAUUGAUGUGAUCAGUAGAUGUGGAAAUCAUUUCCAUAAGAAGAGGACAUUGAUAAGACCCAGUAGAUGACAAAUGAGUUAUAGUGGUUUGAGGCAAGUUUUCCAACCAUGAAUCAUUUACCAUAGCCCUAUCAAGCCUCUUCCAGAUUCUGUGGUUAAUCCCUCUCUUGUUGCAUAAAUUGAAUUUGUGACCACUAUAACCAAUGUCCAAAAGGCCACAGGCUUCAAUGAAAGCAAUAAAAUCCUAAUUUUCCUCAUGUUAUAAGGCAGCCCUCCAAGUUUUUCCUACAGAAGUUAUAACAUUGAAAUCACCAACAGUACACCAAGGGUUAUUAUUCAAAGUAGCUUCCUGAAUCAUUUUUCCGAAAGAGGUCUUGUGAGGUGAUCUUUGUGCUUCGUAUUGAAAUUCCUCCUCUAGGUACGGAAAAUUAUAAAAACUAAAGGCCUUAAUAAGAUCCUCGCUAGUCAUAUUAUCCUCAUCAGGUUCAUCUAGAGAAUGGUUGUCCCUAUCCAGCUCAUCCUCAGAAUUAUCCACUACAUACUCAUAAAAAAAGGUACUGUAUUUAUCUUACACUGCCUCUUGUCUGGUGGUUCAGCUGAUGGUGGAGUCAUAUAUUGAGUGUGGAGAGAGAGUGAUAUACCGUGGUUACACGGUAUAAUUAAUACUUUUUCCUUAAGUUUAGUGUGUCCGAAAGUCUUUUUGUGCUAGUUUUUAUAUGAGUUUCUCUUUGUUUUGCAGGAAAUCUGUCCAAAGUUGAAUGCGGAGAUUUUGAGCGAAGAAAUGCAGAAGAAACCACCUACGGAGCUGAUGACGGUCCGUCGUGCUUGCGACUGUCCGUAGGUUGCAGUGUAGAGAAGCUGCUGAAGGAAGAUGGGGAAGUCUGACCAAGUGUGGGGUUACGUAUCUUGUGACGGUCCGUCGUGGCUAUGACGGUCCGUCCUGCAGGUUCGUCAUGAAGUUCAGAGAAGUGAUCCCAGUACCCAGAAUCCAAGAGUUAAAGUGUUUUGAAAAGAAGACUCUCGACGGACCGUUGUGCCUAUGACGGUCUGUUAUACUUGCCGUCGAGGGGAAUGAAGAGAGUAACAUAAGAAAUUGCUAAGUAUGGGACGACGGAGUCCAUGAUUGUCAGUCAUGACUACGACGGUCCGUUGCGUGUUUCGUCGAUCCAGUAGCGUUUUGGCAGAUUUCAAGCAAAAAGAGUCCUUGUUUAAUUAGAUUUUUAUUUUUUAUAAAUAGUUUGAAAAACCUUGUUUUUGAGGUUAGACUCCAUAUUAUUAGACUUUUGGAUUAUUGGAACUUGUGAUUGUUGAUUAGUGUUAGAUUUUUAGAUUCUUACAAGUGAUUAUUGGUGAUUAAUCAAGCAAACUUUCGGACUUUAUUCUUUCUCAUUGAAGUAACUACAUGAAUUCUUAUUUAAUAAAUUUGAAUAUUCUGUUUAUGGCUAUAAGUAACUAAACUCCAUAACUAGGGUUGUGGGACCAUAGGAAAAUAAUGAUAUAAACCGUAAUUAAAAGAACAAUUCUAGAAUAGUGUCUUGCAUGAAUAAAUAAUUUUUUUGUUUAGAAGUCUUUUUAACGGAUGGCCAAUGUUAGAACUCGCCUUAAUGCUACUUGCGGGACCAAGGAGGUAGAUAAUAGGAAAAGAAUUAUUAACAUAGAUUUAGUGUAUACUAUCUAAUAGGCUAGUAUUGAUUUGUACGAAGUAAUAACUUAGUCAAAUAUUGAAUACGAUGCUUAAUAUGAGGUAAUGAUAAUGGUUCGGAUAGCAACACACGUAGCCGGACCAUAGUGCGGAGUGAUAUUUUCUAGAUGCCGGACCAAGGAUUUAGAAAUACAUAAUUUAUCACUUUGCAUGCAAGAUACUAGGAAAGAAUUGUUAUAGUUAGAGUUAUCAAGUUAUGAACCUGUGGGGAACACGUAAAUCCUAGUUACUUUGAUUAAUUUAUUAAAACCCAACAUUAAAAGCUUUUAAGUGUCUCUUUCAAGUUUGUUGUUUAUUUUCACUUAUUUAGAGAUAGAACCCCCCCUUUUUAUAUUUUUAGUUUCCAAGGAAGUUAUUGACCAAACGAUAGUAAUAAUAGGUUGAAGUUAAGUCUAAGCUAUUUUCCUCGUGGGAACGAUCCCAAACUCACUAGUUGGGUUAUUUACUUGACACGACCACUUUACUUCUUAUUUGAGAAGUAUGUUUGACCGUAUUAAAUUUUGGCGCCACUGCCGGGGAAUGUAGCUUUUAGAUUAACUUGAACUUAUUACUAUAGUUUAGUUGAUAUAUUCUUGAUUUUAAUUUGUUUUAUUGUUUUUGAUUUCCUUUAAGAACUAUCCUCCUUGUAUGCAAAAUACAGAGAGGGAGAGAACCCUUGUUUCCCUACGAUCACGAGCUAGAGCGUACACUGCGCAAUAUGAAUCAAAACUGGGGAAUAAAUGAUGAGGAUCCAAACCAGAACAUCCCAGAUCCAGUGGAUGUUCAUGGUCAGAUGUUACGCGAUGCUACGGGUGAACAUAAAUAAAGGGGACAAAAUCCCGUUCCACGGCCUCAAGCAUACUACAGAGGGUAUGAUAACAUAAAUGACUCGGAUGGGCCACUUGUCUUGCCACCUCUACUCACAGGCCACACUUUUGUGGUAACUAGUAGCCUGAUGCAAAUGCUCACUGCCAGAGGUUUGUUUUCAGGGCUACCUUGUGAGGAUCCACAUGCCCAAAUAGCUAAGGUAAGGGCAGUGUGUAAAAGUUAUGUGGGGAGGCCUGAUUUGGAUCUAGAUGUAAUAGGUCUCAGAGUGUUUCCUCUCUCACUGACGGGAGAGACUGCUAUGUGGUUCACUGAGCUCCCAUACAACUCCAUCUUCACUUGGAACCAACUAAGGGAUGUCUUCUUAGCAUGCUACUAUCCGGUCUCCAAGAAAUUAAACCACAAAGACAGGGUGAACAACUUUGUGGCACUACAAGGAGAGUCAGUUAGUAGUUCUUGGGAUAGAUUCACCUCAUUCUUGAGAAGUGUUCCAAAUCACCGUAUAGAUGAUGAGUCACUGAAGGAAUACUUUUAUCGGGGACAUGAUGAUAACAAUAAAGCGGUGUUGGACACUAUAGUAGGUGGAUCUUAUGGAGAAUGCCCUUAUGCUGAGAUUGCAGAAAAACAAAAGAAAAUCUCCCAAAAUAACAAAGCUUGGAGUACUAGGAAGUCCGAUACAGGGAGAAAUACCUUCGCAGUGCAAUCCACUCACAACCCACCCACAGAUGAGAUUCGUGAUGAAAUGGCUCAGAUGAGAACUGAGCUUGUGUUGGUACUAAAUCAUGUCACAGGGGUGCCAAAAAGAUAACUGCAGUCAACUACUUGGCUAAACCACCACCUCCUAAUGAUGAGUGCUAUUAUGCGGAGGACACUUAUGCAUUGAAUGAGCAGAGGGGGGGUUUCCGACAAAGCGCCCAAGGCUCAAAUAAGGAUAACUAGCGCCAAGGUCAAGGAAAUCCAGGUCGGAACUAUGGUAACUACAACCGUGAGGGUCAUUAUGUCCUUGAUAAAUACUACAACCGCAACAACAACUUUAACAAGAGUAACUAUGCUAAUAGAAAUGACAGGAAUGGGCCCUGUGUCCCUUCUCAAAAUCGUGAAGUUACUCCUAGGGAUGGUGGAGAUAGCAUGGCGCGAGUUGAGGAUAUGUUGCACAAAAUGAUGAGGAGGUUCGACACUAGUGAUGAACACAUUAAAGAGUUGAGGUGUGAUUUAGCUAGUAUUGGGCAAAAAGUUGAUACACAUGCAAUUUCGAUUAAACAGAUUGAAUUGCAAGUGGCCCAAUUAUCUACGACUGUGAACACACGGCAACCAGGCACUCUUCCUAGCAACACUGUCCAAAAUACAAAGAAUGAUGCGCACUAUAUGCCAAUCACUACUCGGGGUGGUAGGCAAACCAUUGACCCACCUAUGCCAUAUACUGAGGAAAAUGUGAGAAAGGAUAUUGAUAAUGUGGUAAGGGGUAGUGGUGAAGUAGAGGGAAGUAAUGGAAAAGAUUCAGAAGUACCUAUCAAGGUAAUUCCCAUGCCUAGGCCACCACCACCCUUCCCUCAGAGAUUAAUGAAAAAGACCGAGGAUGGUAAAUACCGGCGCUUCAUAACAAUGUUGAAGCAGCUCUCUAUCAAUGUCCCUUUUGUAAAAGCUCUAGAACAAAUGCCCGGUUAUGCCAAAUUCAUGAAAGAUCUGGUCACAAAGAAAAGAUCGGUCAAUUUUGAGGAUGAUGAUAGAUUGCAGCAUUGUAGUUCUAUUGCUACAAGAUCCCUAGUACAAAAGAAAGAAGAUCCGGGUGGGGUUCACUAUUCCUUGUAUAGUAGGGUCAUUACAUUUUGCGAAAGCAUUAUGUGAUCUGGGGGCAAGCAUAAAUCUCAUGCCCCUCUCAAUUUACAAGAAGUUGGGUUUGGGGGAUCGAAAACCCACUGCGAUGCGGCUACUAACGGCCGAUCGGACAGUGAAAAGGCCCAUAGGGAUACUCCAUGAUGUGCUAGUAAACGUGGAGUCAUUCAUCUUUCCAGCUGAUUUUGUUAUUCUUGAAUGUGAGGUCGAUUUUAAGUGCCUAUUAUUCUUGGGAGACCAUUCCUUGCUACAGGUAGAGCCUUAGUUGAUAUGGAGAAGGGACAGAUGACAUUUCGGUUGAAUAAUGAAGAAGCCACCUUCAGCAUUUGUAGGACCAUGAGGCAGAGUGGUGAGCUCCAAUCGGUAUCUGCCAUAUCUCACAAAGAAAAGAUGAAGAAGGAGACUGAACAGAAAAAUGCAAAACAAGAGUUCAUGGUUGGGGAUUAUGUGCUUGUAGACAGUUCUAGGGUGCCUUGUCUUCCGGGCAAGCUCAAGUCCAAAUGGACAGGCCCUUACUUGACUACCCAAGUAUUCCCUCAUGGGGAAGUUGAGUUAAAAGCCAAGGAGGGAGUGCAUUUUAAGAGGAAUAAAGAUAGAAUAAAACUCUAUUUUGGGCAUAAAGCAUCGGGGAAUGAAGCGAUAGAGGCAUACCAUCUUGAUGAAGUCUGAGUAAUCAAGUGUCCCCAGUCGUGCCGCGACAUUAAAUCAGGUGCUUGUUGGGAGGCAACGCAGUACUUAUCGUCUUUUUAGUAAUGGUAGCAUUUUUCUACAAAUGGGUUUUAAAUUUGUAGGCAAAUCACCAGGAAAUUCUGCAGAAAAUUACUCUGCAGCAGUCACUGAUGGACACAUCGACGAAUUGUUGCGCCUGCGACGGACCGCCGUAUGCAUCCGUUGUACCAGGUACGUUUUUGUGUCAUUAUGAAAUUAGGUCACACACGACGGAACCAACGACGGGUCGUCACAACUUUGAUGGACCGUCGUCGGGGAACCGUCGCGUGAUUAAUGAGGUACACUUGACCCCACCCGGCUAGACCCUUUUCCAAAAUAAGACCGUUUAAACUCCCCACCCCUUCAUAUUUCACCACAUUACUUCAUUAUUUCUCCCAUUACUCUCUCUUUUCAACAUUCCACAUUCCCUCCCUCCGAUAAUUGCCCCCAUCACAAUUCUCCCAAGCCCUAAAGUGUUAAUCUACUAGUGAAAACUGCUGCUGUGGGUGUCUACCUUGCCACCGAGUACUUGUGCAUUUGUUUUUCUCCUUUUCUAAGGUCUGUGUCUCUAAUUUAUACUCAUUUAUCUUGCAUUUGUGUUUACUAAUUAGUAUUAAGCUUAGUUCCUCAUUGUAUUUUGUUUACUUUAGAUGACUCUGCCUAACCUAGGUUACAAACGUUCGAAAUUGCCAUGUUUACAACCUUAGACAUAGGUACUUUUUCAUUGCUAGUUUCCUAGUUAGUUGGGUUAGACACAUAUAGGUCAAAAACACUACAAGGUUAAUGUGGGUUCAUCGGGGAUGCUUAGGGUACCCUUAGUUCUGUCUAUGUCAUGCAGAACGAGACCCUGAUGACGGACCGUCGUACCCACGACGGACCGUCAUAAGGUCCGUUGCAAAAACCCUAGCACACUGCAUAUGUCACUGACCGUCGUCUUCACAACGGUCCGUCUUGCACAACCGUUCUGGUUCUCAGAGACCCUGCUACUACGGGUCUCUCAUUCUUUUCCCAAGUGUUACCCAACAGACACAUGUGGCGGACCGUCGUAUUCACAACGGUCCGUCCUGCACAACCGUUCAGGUUGUUAGAGACCCUGUUUCUACGGGUCUCUCAUUUUUUUUCUAUGUGUCCUUCAACGGACACAUGUGACGGACCGUCGUACCCCCGACGAUCCGUCCUGCAUGACCGUCAGAGACCCCUCUCCUAAGGGUCUCCAUAUUUUUUCUCAAGUGUCCUAUGAUGGAAAUUUAUGACGGACCGUCGUGCGUGUGACGGUCCGUCCUGCACACACUGUCAUGCUAGUCAGAGAGUCUCCUUCAGGGUUCUCUAUAUAUACAUAGUCCAAGUAAAACACGACGGACCUCACGACGGUCCAUCAUAGUCACGACGAGCCGUCACCAGUCCUGUCGUGUGUUACUGUUUCUACAGCAAUUACAUACUAUUUUCACUGUUUUAUUUUGUAUGGUUUCGCUUGUCUUGUGUGCCACUACUCGUCUUAACAGUGAUCCUUUGCAGGUACUAUCUACUAUGGCACCCAAGCAAGACCGAACCUACGCAUGCGGGCGAUCCAAGUCUGUCGCCCUGUCUGCACGUAUGAUCAUCGGCUCUGAUAAUGAGCGGGACCCUGAGUAUGUGCCCCCAAGCACUUCCACACCUUCUCGUGCUGCACGAGCUCCCAGAGCCACACCUAAAAAGGUGGCGUCCGGCGUAGUCACUGCCUCCCACUCUGAUGAGGAGCGCACAUUGACCGGCACACCUUCUGGGUCGGCCACAAAUGAAGAAGGAGCGACUGGAUCCUUAGGAAUAUCAUGGUCCGAGGAAGCCUCUGGCACUGCUGAGGUUCCUGCACCCGCCACUGCUGCAGCGUCGGCCUCGUCUGAUGAGGCUGACACUUCAGAUUCCACAUCCCGUACACCAGCUUAGGUCCCCACCCCACCCUAAUAAGCCGAACCGUUGGUGUGUCGACGGCCAGUUCCAAGUCUACUCCGACGCCAUGUUCCUGACUGAUAAAGGAGUGAUGACUGGAACACUCACUUUGGAGCGGCCGGUACUUAUUGUGAGUCUCCCAACGAUGCCCGAGAUCCACAACCUCUUCACCAGGCAUCACUUGGAGUGGACAGCACGUCCGUUGGGACGCUACAGCGAGGAAAUGGUCCGAGAUUCUACGCAUCCUAUGUAGAAACUCUCCGAUCACAGAUUGAUAGGUGGGCUGCCCCGCUAAACAGGCCCCACUGGAGUAGGUCCGAGUCUGGGGCGUGCAGGUUGACAUUUCCCUGCCAGCCAUCUGCCGGUUUCUAUACGGCGAGUGUUUUGAUGCCACUUGGACUCCCCCACUGCCGAGUUUGACUACCGCUGGCAGAUAGUGAAGGAUGGCCAGUUCUUGCGCGAGCCAGCACUGAGAGAGACCACCAAGAGGUGGAUGGCCCUGAACCAAUCAGUCGAUGAAGAGGGUGCCGAUUGGGUGACUGAGCCGAAGUGGGCCAUCAAGAAGGCCAACCUCACGUUCACAGCAAAAUUCAUGUGGCUGCUUGUCCGUCACUGCCUGUCCCCCAGAGCUGCUGAUAACAUCGUUACUUGGGAUCGAGCAGUGUUGAUGGCGUCAAUGAUAGCCGGAUUCGAGCUGGAUUUCGCAUGGCUUCUCCAGGCAGUCAUGCACGAGAGGGAAUUCAAGGUCACUACUACCUACCCUUUCCCGUGCAUGAUGUUUGCCCUUUGCAGGUCCGCAAGUGUGCCUAUAUGGCAUGUAGAUCAGCUGAAGACCCCGCAGGGCACUGUUGACAUCGGCCUCAUCAGAGAUGAGGCCAAUGAGUUGGAUCCACGCAUAGGGCCUCGUCCAGAGCUGCCCCCACUUGCUGAUGAUCUUGCUGAUACGGUAGCCCAGGCCUGCACAGCCACACAGGCGUCCACUGACACUACCCCGGUCGAGUCUAUCCCGGGUAGUAGUACAGCCCGGAGAUCCUCGCGCACAGCCCCUCUACCGGUACUGGUCCCGCUUGCUAAGGUCAAAACACUAGAGGCACAAAUGGCCACUCUUAUGCAUCAUAUCCGGCCGUGGAUGCAGAAGUCGAUUACUGAGUCUGAAGCGCCUCGAGAGAGGAUGAUGCAGCAGUUUACAGAGCGGAAGAUUGUUAAGGUCAACCAGCGCCUGGACGCCUUUGAAUUGAGAGUGUUAGCCCGACCAGCCCUCCGGUGGAUGUGUCGACUCUUCAAGCUGCAGUCGAUAGUCUUCGUGCAGACAUCGACACGAUCCUAGAGGUGAGGGUGCCGAAGUCUGAGGCCCCAUUCUGUCGAGCCUGCUGAGGACACUGUGUUGUCGGCCUUGUUUACUACUUCAGAAAUUCCAUUACCUCCCCCUCGAUACAGUGCCAAGAGGCGUAGGGGUCGAGUAGAGGAUGAGGCGUGAGCAAUGAAGAAGGAGCGCCGAGAGAUGGAGGUUGAGAGGAGAGCCUCACUUGCUGAGGAGGAGGCACACCAGAUUAGAGCAUCACAGUUAGUGGCUGGGGCGUAUAGCUCCUGCACUGUAGAGAUAGCAGGAGGCACUACUGAUGGUGCGGUUGUUGCUGAGGACACCACUGAGGGUGUCCAGAUUGCAGAGGACGUGGGUUCCGGGGAAUCGCACCCACAAGCUUGCUGAUCGACGGCGCUUUGCGCCACAGGUUUGCUUCACCUACCACUCUAAUAUUUAGAUUUUUUUAUGCAUUGGGGACAAUUGCAUGCUUUUUUGUUGGGGUGGGGUAAAUGGAAAGUGAGUGUUAGGGUGAAGUCUGAGUAUCCCAACUCACUAUCCUCUUUUGGGGUUUUCUUGCCUGUGUUCUUUUUCUCCAAAAGACUGAUUACUUUUCUGUUGAACCGGCAUGUUUAUAUCUUUUGUACAUAGUUUAACUCUGAAGCAUGAUGGCUAAAAUGAUAUCCUGAUAAAACUGGAAAAUGUUGCAUGACUAGGCAUAGUAACUGAUAAUUGUGUGGCUCUAAGCAUUAAAUAGAAUUACACCAUUGCAUUACCCUAAGUCUUCAAUUCGAACUAGGUGUCUAAUAAUCUGGUAUAGUGAUGAGAUGUCAAGUGAGUGUGAGGAAAUUUGAUUAGUCCACUAUUGGUACUGAGCUAGAACUUGCCUGGUUAGUCCUGCUAAAAAUAAGCUGUAACAGACAAUUAGGAAAGGAUCAUAGGCCCUUAUUCAAGAUAGCCCAUUUAUAGCCUAAAUAAAAGAAACCAAAUGAAAGUUAUCCUUAUUUGAUCCAAAUAAUCUGAGCUUAAAAUUAGUCCUUUCUUUUUCACCCUAACUUAUCUUUUCUGGGAACAAUAUGUUGGCCCUGGUCCCUCCUUGGACAUGUGCACCUCAGCUUAAAAGCAUAAGUUUAGGGUGGCUAAUGCAUAAACAACCUUUGUUAUGGCCCUGACCCAACUUUGGGUAUUGUGUACCUUGACUCAUGGCAAAGCCAUGAGUCGAGGGUGGCUAUUUUGAGGAAUGCUAUGGAAAGUGGGGUUGAAAACACAAACAGAGAGAAAGAACAAAAGUAAAGUGACUCAAGAAUUCGUUGAAAGAAAAGUAAAGAAAAAAAAACAAAAAAAAUGAAAAGAUUCACUUACACAAAUAAAGAAAGAAGGGAAAAUAGAAAGGUGAAAGAAUAGGAGAAACUGGGCGAGAUAAAGUGAUAGAAAGUGGAAGGUUUAGCCGAUAUGUCUAGGAGGGCAAAAAGUCACCAAAGUAUACUUAAAUAAACUCUACAUUACUAUGAAACUAUGUUACAAGCUAAGAAAGUCCUAUCGUGAUCAUAAGGGUUGUAUACCGAACAUAAGGCAGUGAAAAUAAGGGCAAGAUUAUGGCAAUAGGUAUGAAUGUGUGUGACUUUGUUCUGAGAGCGAGUGUUGAAAAGCAAUCCUUAUACUAAGACUGAAAUCAUUGUGUGAAAAUAAGAAUUUCGUUUUGAAGUGAGGACACUAGUUGCAAUACCGGAGUUGUUAGCACCUCGGUGAGAAAUUGAAGAGGAUAGGUGUUAGUGCAUGGUGAGUCUGUGUCAUGUUCUAAUCCCACAAAAUUCAAGCCUAACAGUGAUAGCAUGCAUAGAUUUGAUGAGAUUAAUCGGGAUUGAUAGCCAAAUGAUUGCAAAGGAUAAAACAUGGAUACUAUUGUACAAAGAUUAUGUAGUGAAUCAUAGUGCGUCGCUUGAGGACAAACAACGAAUUUAAGUUGAGGGUGUUGAUAUAUCGUGGUUUCACGGUAUAAUUAAUACUUUUUCCUUAAGAUUAGUGUGUCCGAAAGUCUUUUUGUGCUAGUUUUUAUAUGAGUUUCUCUUUGUUUUGCAGGAAAUCUGUCAAAAGUUGAAUGCGGAGAUUUUGAGCAAAGAAAUGCAGAAGAGACCACCUAAGGAGCUGAUGACGGUCCGUCGUGCUUGUGACGGUCCGUAGGUGGCAGCGUAGAGAAGCUGCUGAAGGAAGAUGGGGAAGUCUUACCAAGUGUGGUGUUACGUAGCUUGUGACGGUCCGUCCUGGCUAUGACGGUCCGUCCAGCAGGUUCGUCAUGAAGUUUAGAUAAGUGAUCCCAGUACCCAGAUUCUAAGAGUUGAAGUGUUUUGAAACGAAGACUCUCGACGGACUGUUGUGCCUAUGACGGUCCGUUAUACUUGCCGUCGAGGGGAAUGAAGAGAGCAGGAGAAGAAAUUGCAAAGUAUGGGACGACAGAGUCCAUGACGAUCCGUCGUGACUACGACGGUCCGUCGCGUGUUCCGUCGAUCCAGCCGCGUUUUGGCUGAUUUCCAGCAAAUAGAGUCCUUGGAUAAUUAGGUUUUUAUUUUUUAUAAAUAGUUCGAAAAACCUCGUUUUUGAGGUUACACUCCGUAUUGUUAGGCUCCAAAGUAUUAGAUUUUUGGAUUGUUGGAUUAUUGGAACUUGUGAUUGUUGAUUAGUGUUAGAUUUUGACAUUCAUAGAAGUGAUUUUUGGUGAUUAAUCAAGCAAACUUUAGGACUCUAUUCUUUCUCAUUGAAGUAAGUACAUGAAGUCUUAUUUAAUAUAUUUGAAUAUUGUGUUUAUGGCUAUGAGUAACUAAACUCCAUAACUAGGGUUGUGGGAACCAUAGGCAAAUAAUGAGAUAAACCCUAAUUAAAUGAACAAUUCUAGAAUAUUGUCUUGCAUGUAUUAAUAAUUCUUUCGUUUAGAAGUCUUUUUAACGGAUGGCCAACGUUAGAACUCGCCUUAAUGCUACUUGCCGGACCAAGGAGGUAGAUAAUAGGAAAAGAAUUAUUAACAUAGAUUUACUGUAUACUAUCUAAUAGGCUAGUAUUGAUUGGUACGAGGUAAUAACUUAGUCAAAUAUCGAAUACGAUGCUUAAUAUGAGGUAAGGAUAAGGGUUAGGAUAGCAACACACGUAGCCGGACCAAGGUGCAAAGUGAGAUUUUCUAGAUGCCGGACCAAGGAUUUAGAAAUACAUAACUUAUCACUUUGCAGGCAAGAUACUAGGAAAGAAUUGUUAUUGUUAGAAUUAUCAAGAUAUGAACCAGUGGGGAACACGUAAACCCUAGUUACUUUGAUUAAUUGAUUAAAACCCAACAUUAAAAGCUGUUAAGUGUCUCUUUCAAGUUCGUUGUUUAUUUUCACUUAUUUUGAGAUAGAACCCCCUUAUUAUAUUUUUACUUUCCAAGGAAGUUAUUGACCAAACGAUAGUAAUAAUAGGUUGAAGUUAAGCCUAAACUAUUUUCAUUGUGGGAACGAUCCCAAUCACACUAGUUGGGUUAUUUACUUGGCACGACCGCUUUACUUCUUAUUUGAGAAGUAAGUUUGAGAAUAUCAGGGAGGAUAUCCAAUCCCUGAUUAUCAUCCAUCAUAACAAACGUGUUGCAUGAUUCCUCCCUCUUUUCCUGUCCCUAAUCACUGGCAAUAGUUUGUAGCUUAUUCUGUCUCCUUUUAGCAGCAUCCCUUUUCUUUUUACUUGUCUUCUUUUUGCUCUUAGGGUUCUUACUGGAGUAGAAGUAUCCACUUGUUUCCCUUUAUCACUAUUUUCCUCCUUCUUUAGACUAUUAUUUUUCCUUAUUAUUUUCUGAAUCUUGUUUUGUGUUAUCUCUAUUCUGACUUUGCUGCUGUUGUUUCUCCCUUUGUUACUACCUGUUUUUUGGACUUACAGAGGCUCUAAGGUCAGUCCUAUUGUCAACCAACCCCUCAUGAAGAACAUGAGGCAAACACACCCUAUGGUAACCAUAUCCUGCAAGUUAGUGGUUUUCUCCUAACACCCCUCAUCCAUACCUCCAACAUCUUCACUAAAACCAUCAUGAAUAGUAGUAAUGUUGGGGGAAUGGGAGUUGGGAGCAUUGGGUCAAUACCUGUGCUCUUGUGAUUGUAAUUUGCAGUAGCCUGCUGCUUUUGUUUCUUCUUUAUGUUAUUUCUUUUUGUGCAAGCUGGGCUGUUAUUAGCCCCCUUUUUUUCUGAUUCUGUUGUGUUACUUCUCAACUUGUGUGCUCGUCCACAGUAUUUUAUGUCCUUUGUUAUUCCUAUAUUUCAAGGUUAGAGAAAAUAUUUUGAGUUGGGAUAUUAGUCAUACUUGUUAUUUCCUGUUCCUCCUGAUGGUUGUCUUUGAUUUUUUGUGUUUGUGGUGAAACUAGUCUCCAAACAGACUUGGAGUUAGUAAUUUCCUGAUUUUUAUGCUGUUUCUUUCUUUGAGCAUGCCACUAUUCUUCCUGCAACUCUACCUGCUGGUCUUGUUCAUUCUGAUUGAAGGUGGUUUUCCCAUGUUGAUGGCUUGUAAGUUGUUUUCCCUGACUGAUUCUAGUUUUCCUCCCUGUUCAGCUGAUUUUGUGUCUUUGCAACUGCCUCAUUUGUAAUUUUUGUCUGUUCUUGAGCAUGUUUAUUUCCAGUCUGCUCCUUAUUCUUUUUUCAAGAUUCUAACUCCUUUAUUUUUUUGAACACAUCCUCCCUCCUCUUAACUGUACAUUCCUCUUUCAUAUGGCCUUGAUUCUUACAGUACGAAUAGUAAUUAGGAAUCCCCGCAUAUUCCACCUUCAACCAUCUUUCUUUGUUGGGGUUUGAGCUUUUAAAUCCCUUCUAAACAUGAGAAGGUCUAGCUUUGGUAAGAUCCACUUGAACUUUAACUCUAGUAGUGCUACCUCAAGUCCUUUGGGAGGUUGGUGAGUCAAGGAAAAGUACCUUCCCAAUAGAUUCUAAAAUAGUAGUUAAUAACACGUUGUUGUAACAGUGCUAAGGAAGUCAAGGAAUAUCCACCCAUAUGGGAACAAUGGGGGUUUCCUCCUCCGGUGUAAAAUCUGGGGUCCAAGCUUUAAUUCUCAUCACUUGUCCCUCAAUAUUCAUCCUAUGUUUUUUCCAAACACUUUGGUAAUCAAACUCAUUGUCUAAGUCAAUGAAUACAUGCCUACAAUUAAAGUGUGUGACCUUCACACUCGCGUAUUCGUAAACUUGCUCACAAAAGUAUAUUUACAAACUUCCGCCAACUUCAUAUAAUAAUCAUUUUCAUCCACAGUACAAAAGGAAACCCUUGUCUAGUAGUAUGUAUUGGAUCAUUUUAAAAAAUUGGGAUUUCUUUUUUAGCUUGGUUAUAUCUCAAUCUAGCAGCAACUGAUUUCACAACUGCAUAGGGUGCUGGUUCUGAAUUUUUCCCAUUUUUCAGAUUGUUGGUAUUUUGACGGUGCAGUUGGCUAUUAGAGUUUCUAGCAGCUGCCUGAACCACAUUAGUCUCCUGCUUAUUACUUCUAUCAGAUUGAGGAUUAGAUUCAUACCUGGAGUAGUUACUUGAUAAUUUUGGGAAGUUGUUGCGAUAUUCCACAUUUGUUCGAUUGGUUUGCUUUAAUGGGAUGCUUUCUCCUUUAUUAUAGGUGUUCCUACCCUGAUCCGUUUUUUUCCCAUCCUUUCCUUGACCCUAAUCUGAGCUAUGCUUGCCUCCCUCAGCAGUCCUUUUCUGCUGCGAUUCCUUGCCCGAGUGCUCUUGCCUUCGCAUUUUCAAGUAUUUGUCUUGAGUGUUCUUGCCUUAGCAUUUUUAAAUUCCCAUACUCUUUUCCAUUCUCAUCUUGUUUGUUUAUGGUAUGUGAAUUACGUUCAUUCAACUUGGAAGAUUGGUAAGAAGAAUUUCCUACAAUGCUAAAUGAAAAGUUAGAUGAUGUUGUUUCAUUUGAUAUUACUGCUGUAUGCUUCCUCAACGUGUUCUUGGUAUUGUCCUGCUACUCAAUCGAGUUUUCCCCAUGUCGAAUUUCUGUUCUUUCUCCUUUUGAUGUUGUUUCGAUUGAAUGGGAGACUUCAAUAAUGUUGUUUUGUGUAGCACUUCGAUGAAGCAUGGGGUUUUCCCCCUUCACUUCCUUGAUUUCAUAAUGCGAUUUGCACUUAGGAUCAGUAGCGGAUGUUCGAUUGUUGUUGUUGUUGAUUUCACCCUUAUGUUUGUUGGAAAUAUCAGUUAGAUGGAUGCUCUUGGCCUUAGAAACAGUCCCCUCCGACGAAUCUCCAAGAUUUCUGACAUUUGGAGCUCUAUUUUUGCCGAAAAUCUCCUUGCCGGCGAUUUGACUGUCCAUUUCACUUGAAAUUUGAUUGAGAUGGACCUUAUCUUUAGGACAUAAAACCCCAAUGGUUGAAAAAUUAUGAAUUUGACAGGAAGACGAUCGAAUCAGGCUGCACAACUCAGGCGAUGCACUCGAGAUUCUUUCGAAUGUCGCCUUUCGAUUCUAAUAAAUUGCAGCGAUGGAAUUCGCUGAUUUUUUACUAUCUUGUAGAUCUUGAUGAGGUGAAUCCAUUUCCAUAACUCUUUCAGCUCGAUUCAAAUUAGAAUAUUCUAGGGGAAUGAUUACAUGUUCUCUAUCAAAUUCCAUUUCAGAAAAUGUAGUAUUCAUUUGAGAAUUCGGGGAGAGAAAAUUUAAAGAGACAAAAAAAUCUGGAAAACGAGGUGACUUGGUAUUUUGGGCAUAGAGUGUUGGUUUUAUUGUUUAGGGUUAGGGUUAGAAUUAAGGUUAGGGUUAUUGUUAGGGUUAGGGUUUAGGGUUUUUAUUAGGUUUUAGCUUUUGGGGUUAAAAGAUUUUUUGCUUAGUGUUUUAUGUUUGGUUAUCUUAUUUUGGACUUAGAUUUUUUUUGGACAUAGGGUUUAGGAUUUGCGGUUAAGUUUAGGGUUAGGGUGUAGGUUUUUUUAGGUUUUAUGGUUCAGGGGUUAGCAUUUGAGGUUUAAAAUCUAUGGUUUUGUAUUCAAUGUUUGGGUUUUUUUGGGGUGGGGGGCUUUCUAAGUAGCCUCUCAUUCCAGUUACCAUCUAUAAGAAAAUCAUCUAUAAUACUGUUAUUCAGGCUAGAUACAUGAUCACAAUGCAGAGCUAAUGGUUUAUCUAACCAACAAUCCCACCAAAAACUGCAAGUACCAGACUUAAUAUGCCAUUUAAUAAGAGAUUCCACAUUUUGUCUAUUUCUAGUUAGGUAUCUCCAUACAAUAGAAUCCCCAGUAUCAUAUUUUUUAGCCACUGGAUUGGCUCUUUGAUUAUAUUUGGCUUUCAAGAAUUGGCUCCACAAAGAAUUCUUGGUUCGAAAUGCCCACCACUGCUUAUAUUGGAAGGCAGUACAGACAUCUUCAAUCAACCUCAAACCAAUGCCUCCUUCAUUAGUUGGAUAAGCCAUAUUACAAUCUAUGCCUAUUCAUACUCUUGCUGCAAUAUCUCCUCCAAAGACUACUUUCAACAGUAUUAAAAAAGUUAUUGCUGAUUUCUUUUGGGGUAUAGAGAAGGAUGGUAAGAAGUACCAUUGGUCUUUUGGUUUUAGGGUUUAGGGUAAGGGUUAAGGUUAAGGAUAGGGUUAGGGUUACGGUUUUGGGUUUUUAUAGAUUUUUGGGUUUAGGAUUUAGGAUUAGAGGUUUAAUAGCAACGGUUCACUGUUUAAUGUUAGGAUUUUGGUUUUAUGACUUUGGGUAUAGAGUUUAUGACAAGUUAGGGUUAGGUUUAAUGUUAGGGUUAGGGUUAGGGUUCAGGUUGUUUUCAUGGUUUUACGGUUCAGGGUUAAAAAUUUGAGUUGUAAUAUCUAUGAUUUAGUGUUUAAUGUUAGUGUUUUCGUAUUUUAGGCUUUGGUUUUACGAUUUAGGGUUAGAGUUAAGGAUAUGGUUAGGUUUAGGGUUCGUGUAAGGGAUAGGUUUAGGGUUCAUGCAAGGGAUAUUGUUAGUGUUAGGGUUUAGGGGUUUUAAGGUUUUAGGCUUUAAGGUUUAGGAUUUUUUUUAAAAAUCUACGGUUUAGUGUUUGAUAUUUGGGUUUUCAUAUUUUGAGCUUAGGGUAUCGGGUUAAUGGUUUAGCGUUAGUGUUAGGUUUAAGGUUAGGGUUAGGGGUUAGAUUAGGGUUAGGGUUAGGGUAAAGGUUAUUUUUUAGGUUUUAAGGUUUGUGGUUUCGGAUUUGAUUUUUAAAAUCAAUGGUUUAGUGUUUAAUGUUUGGGUUUUCUUAAGUUUGACUUAGGGUUUUCUUACGGUGUAGUGUUAGGGUUAGGCUUAAAGUUAGGAUUAGGGUUAGGGUAUAGGUUUUUUUUUUGAUUUUAUGGUUUAGGGUUUAGCAUUUGUGGUUUAAAAUCUAUGGUUUAGUCUUUAAUGUUUGUGUUUUCAUACAAUGGACUUAGGGUUUUUUUACGCAAGGUUUAGGGUUUAGGGUUAGGUUUUAGGCUUUAGGAUUUAGGAUUUGAGGUUUAUUAUCAAUGGUUUAGUGUUUAUUGUUUGGGUUUUUGUAUAUUGUUCUUUGGGUUUAGGGUUAGGUUUUAGGUUGUUUUUUUGGUUUUACGGUUUGGGGUUAAGGAUUUGAGUUCUAAUAUAUAAGGUUUAGUGUUUAAUGUUAGGGUUGAAGUAUUUUCGGUAUUGGAUUUAAGGUUUAGGAUUUAGGGUUUAUUGUUAGGGUUAGGAUUCAUGUUAGUGAUAUUGUUAGGAUUACGAUUUAGGUUUUUCUUUAGGUUUUAGGUUUUGAGGUUUUGCAUUUUUAUGUUUAAAAUCUAUGGUUUAGUGUUUAAUGUUUGGGUUUUGGUAUUUUGAGCUUUAUUUUUUUUAGUUCAAUUACCAUAGGAGGGGUAGGGCCUGAGCAACCCUCCUAGGCCUUAUCAUUAUUAACAAAAACAAAAUAGAAGGAGGGGGACAUAAACCUAACCUCCAACCUAAGAUUUUUUAGAGUCAACUUAUAUAAAGGAAAUCAACUCCAACCCUUAACCAAAAGAUGAAACCAAAAUACUAAGCACCUAAGGAGAUGACUCCUCUCAAUAACACAGUAUCUAGGAAGCAUAAUAAACUAGGGUGACUCUCCCUUUACAAGAAAGCCUAUAAACUAAACUAACCUAUUCAAAGUAGCUAUAAUUUUAAUUAUAGCUCAGUUGAAAAGAUAUAAAACCUCAAGGAGACUAAAAAUUUCUCUUUGUCUUCCUUCUUCUAUAGUUAGGCUUCUCCAAUAAUUCAAGUUGAUUGUAGGCUUUUGCUUCUUUCGGUAGUUGGUGGCUGUUGAGAUAUACCUGAGUAGUGGCAAUGAUGUGACUUUGUUUUUACAAUGCAUCUGCUACGCAAUUUACUUCUCUGAAUACAUGAAUGCAUUUGAAGUUGUGUACUUGAUUGAUAAGAUGUUGCAGCCUUCCAAGUUGAGUGAUAAUACUCCAUUGAGGGACUGCCUUCUUUAGGACCCAUUGCACUACUAGUUGAGAAUCAAAUUCAAAAAUUAUGUUCCUGUAUCAAAGCUCAAGUUCCCAAGUUAAAUGAAAGAUGGCUCCCGCUAUUUUUGAGCUUUGUUGUUUGUUCCUUCUCCAAGUGGUGUUGCGAAAGCCAUCACCACUUUGCCUUGUUUUUCUCUAAGGGUUUCCCCAGCCUGCCAGGGUUCAUGAGUGCACUUCCACCAGUGUUCACUUUGAGCCACUGAUCUGCAGGUUUAAGCCACUUCACCAUGCUCACUUUGAUGUCAUGCACACACUUUUCACUCUUUAGCAUUAAGUCUGUCCACAUAGACGGCCAGUUAAGUUGAGGAAAUGCAGUGUUCAACAUCUUGUAGUUGUCCUUGUAGAUUGCAUAUUUAACUCUGCUGAUGUUUGUUGCUUUACAUCCAUACUUGCAGGCACACCUAUUCUUCCACAGAUUUAGCAGAUGAAUAUUGGCGUAGCUUGUGGCAGCAGUUUGUGGGCUGCAUUUCCAGGCUUUGCUCUCCACCAUUAUUGUAGGAGUUGCUGUAGUGAAGAGUGGUAUGGCUGUAGGCCUGCACUACCUGUAAAAAAGUUCCAUACCUUGGCUGCAAAUUUCCCUGAAUUGAAUGUAUGUUCUAUGAUGUCCAUACCUGCUCUAUCAAGACAACAAAAACAAUGUGAUGGCUCAACGCCAAAGUUAGUCAAUCUUUCAUUUGUAUGGAGUUUACCCCUUAGGUUUAUCCAUAAAAGAAAAGAAGAUUUAAAGGGAAUGUUUUUAUGCCAUAGCAUUGAGUUAAAUUGAUUCUUGGCUCUUUUGUUUCUGAUUCCUUCCCAAGAUGAACAACAACUAAAACUGCCAUAGUUAUUGACAUUCCACACUGGUUGAUCAGGUAGCUGCUAUUGUGGACAGAUUUGUGUUGCCAGGAUGUAGGAGAAUUGACUAGGAGGAGCCUGGUGUAACAGUUUGCUCCAACUCUACUUCCCCUCUUCCAAAAAUUCAUCCACAGUAGAAUUAUUAAUUCUGUUGCUAUUGGUGGUAAACGGAGCUAGUGGUUCACUGCCCAGCCAAUUAUCCCACCAAAAUGAAUAGUUCACAGCUUGAAGCUUCCAAUGGAUGUAUUGCUCGACAUGUCGUCUGUUCCUAAGCAUCUGUUUCCAGGUCAGUGAAUCUCUAGUAUCCCCUUUUUUCCUUAUUGUAUUUGAUAUUUGACACUAUUUUGCUCUCAAAAAUUCUCCCCACAGUGUUUGUUUUGUUCUUAAGAUCCACCAUUGUUUGAAUUGAAAGGAUUUGCAAAUAUCUUGCAAGUUUCUCAUUCCCACCCACCUUCAUCAUCAGGGUAACUUAGAUUUUUCCAUGAAGCCUAGGAUACAUAUUUCUAUCAUUUUUCCAUCCCCAGAAAAAAUCAGCUAUAAGCCCUUGGAUUUGCGUGAGUACUGUAUCAGGAGGUGUAACUGCAGAUAGAAGGUGGAUAAAAAGAGCCUGAAGAACAUGUUUUGUAAGAAUUACCUUGCCUCCAUAGCUUAAUUGUUUGGUCUACCAACGUGUAAUCCUGCAAAAAACCUUGUUAACAAGAUCAGAGAAAUAGAUAUUCCUAGUCCUACCAACAAAUAAAGGGCAGCCUAGUUAAUAAAUAGUUCCAUGCUUUUGUUUGAAACCUGUCAGCUUCUUUAUUCUAUUUCUAGUGCUAUUUAAAGCAUUAGAGUGUAGCAUAAAGUGGCAUUUGUCUCCAUUAAUGAGUUCCCAGAAGUAUCUUUAUACUCCUUUAAAGUUGCCAUAAGGAUUUCUAGAGUCUUGCAUCUUACAAAUGUGAAUAGAAUAAUGUCAUCAGCAAAACUCAAUUUAUUCACUUGAGUCCCUCUCAUUUCCCUGAAGAAACCAUAAUAAUUCGAAUGGUUAUAUAGCCUGGUUAGAGAUCUUGAUAGUACCUCAGCACCAAAAAUAAAUCGGGUGUGAGAAAGUGGAUCACCUUGCUUGAGACCUCUUGAGGAGUGAAAGAAACCAUAUCUUUUACCAUUGACAAUGAUUGAUUACCAAUAAUUAGCAAGUAUUUUCCACAUCAUAUGAAUAAAUACCUCAGCAAAUCCCAUUUUCCUUAGCACCAGACAAAAAUAAUAUAAAGAGACUCUAUAAUAAGGUUUUGCCAUGUCUUGUUUAAUGAUGACAUUGCUAACAAUAUUGGCUUUUUUAUUUGGUGAAUAAUUUCCUGAGCAAGCAAUGUUCUCAGAAAUACUUCUACCUUUAAUAAACCCAUAUUGGUUAGUAGAGAUUUAAGUAGGGAGGAUAGGGCUAAGUCUGUUGCUCAUUAGCUUAGAACUGAUCUUUCUAGUGAAGUUACUCAAACUUAUAGGCCUAUGCUCAAUCAUUUUGUUAGGAUUAUUCACUUUAGGGAGCAGCAGAAUACAAGAAUAGGAGAAGUAUUUUGGAAUCAUCUGUCCACUGAAAAAGGCCUAUGCAAUUCCCAUUAGAUCAUUCUUGAUAAUAUGCCAACAUUUUUUAAAGAAGUACCCAUUCAUACAAUCAAGACCAGCUGCUGAAUUAGGAUUUAUAGAGAAAACAACCUCUUUAAGUUCAUCCAUACUUGGAACACAGGUAAGCUGGGUAUUUUGGUCUUGAUUAAUCAUUCUUGGAAUGCAUUCCAAGGUAUGCUCAUUGAUAAGCUUUUCUUCACAGUUAAAGAUUUCUUUGAAGUGCUCACAAGCUACCUGAGCAAUGUUGUCAUCACCUUGUAGCUAGUCUCCAUCCGCCAUUCCAUCUAUAUUACAUUUUGUAAUUCCCGUUCCAUCUUCCAUUCCUUAAGGGUGCAUAUAUGGUUUUUUUCGAAUUGAACAUUGGGAAAAGAGGGUCUAUGAUACUAGUUUUGGGAAUAGUGGAGCCUAUCCUUCACAGCGCAGAUUUUUCCACCCCGAGUUAUUUUGAGUUUCGAGAGCUUGUCAUUUAAUCCUUUCAUGGAUCUUGGGAGAGUUAUUGAAUUCAUUAGAAGGUUUAGAAAAAGCUACAGCUGAGAAUUCAUGGAUUUUGAAAAUGGGACUGGUUUCUAAGUUAAAACCAUUUUUGAAGAACUGAGUUUAUUACUAACCUGAAUGGUACAGCUGUAAUUAUAACUGGAGUCUUCUAUCUCUUUAAAAGCAAAUGAAGAACUUGGUUAGUAUAAUUAUUUUCUUUUAAUACUUUGUUCAUAUCUGCAACAAUUAUAGGGUUGUUGUCCCUUUCUGAAUGCUUUUUGAAAAGAACACCUUUCAAGACUUCAUUUGUGUAAGGAAUAUGAAUAUCUUCAAGAGGAGGAGUUAUACUUUUGACAACUUUAUCUUUGGUAUGUCACUUGUUUAUCAAAACUUGAAGUGAUGAAUUUGUUUCAUCAAUUUGGCCAGAACAUUCAAACCAUUUGAAGAAUUCAAUUUCAGUUUUGAAUCUCUUCAUGUCUUUGAAUCAUUUACCUUUGAAUGAGAUUCUCUGAUCUUAUGUAUAUGUGUCAACAUACCAAGCCUUCUUAAGAGCAUGCAUGGGGUUGUUCCACCACUUACUAAUUUCCUUUUAUCUGGAGUAAAAUUCCCCGUAGAUUUGAUAACACCAACUGAGUCCUUUUUCCUAUGAAAAGAAGGUCUCAUGUCACUGGGAGAAGGACUUCCUUGAGUUGAUUCAUAAUAAACUUUAGGAAUAGUGUUGGUAAAAUCAAAACCCUGAAAUUUACUCUGUUCUAAAGCUUCAAAAACUUCAUCAUCUUCUUGGUUUUUUGAAGAAGACGGUCUAAUCGAAGACAUUCUUCGACUUAAAGAGACAUGGUUUAAAGAGUUGGAUCUUAAAAACAUAAGGUUAAUAGAUCCAUCUGAAAACUGGGCAAUACUUUUUAGCGAUGACCUAGAAGGUUGAAUGGAAAGGAGUUCAAUAAUAGAUUAAAAUUUCUAUUCAUUAUUGGAAAGAAUCUCAUCCCAUUUAAGCAAACGAGGAACAAAGGUAGUACCGUGCUCUUGGUUUGCUUCCAUGAGCAUGGUGACUCCUUUAGCACUAGAGUUAAGAGCCUUUGGGGCUAUUGUAGUCUUCAUUAGCUAUAUACCCUGAUAUUACAACUAUUUCUCUAGUGUAAAUUUUGCUAUUUAUAUUAUUCGUUUUAACGUUAAGCGUCAAGGUAUCUAUGAGAUUAGGGUCGUCGAUGUCAACUAAGAAAUUUGGAUAAAAAUUAAAAUAAACUAGUCCAUUAGCUAGAUUACUUUCAAUGCUACCUAUCAAAGAGUCAUCAAUAUUGAGAAGUCUAGCAUCACGAAGAAUUAAACAAAUAAAAAUAUUCAGACAUUUACGGAAGAGAGGUUUUACAGCAACUUGGAUUAAACCAAUAUGGAGGAAUUCAAAAUCCUUCUUAUAUUUAUCAAUAUUGGUAGCAACUAGCAGUUUGAUAGUAUUUAAAUAAUUAUUUAUAACAGAGGUUGACUCACAAGUCUUGAAUAGUAUUUCUUAAACAAAUUAGAAUAACCUAUUUGGUAAAUCUUUUAAAAAGGUUCUUUGGGAAUAGACCAAUUUUGCAAUCUUUUUUUUUCUUUAAAGAUAGAAAUAUUAACGUUAUUUACAAUAUGAUUAUUCAUAAUUAUACAAAUAUUGUCAUUAGGCUAGAGACAAGUCACUGAUUACCAUCAAGAGAAGAUAAUAUUAACAGAGAUUAAUAUGAUUAUGUGAACAUGAAUAUUGGUAAAAGAAAUUAAUUGAACUGUAGCAAGGAUCAUCAGAUUCAUCUAAGAAUUAAAUGUGAUGUAAACAAAUAAAUUGGCUUUGGAUAUUACUCAUUCUGUGGCAAGUCAUGUUGCAGGAUGGAACACCAAAAGAUAUUUUGCGUACCCUUUAGUUCUUACGGACUUACAAGAUCUAGUUUCAGGCUUACCUAGUCCUUAAACUGGAGAUUAUUCGGUAUACUCAGAAUUAUGCAGAGAAGAAACCUUAGCCUUUAACUUGUUUUAAUCAGAGUUAAUAACAAGAUGAAAAAUAAUAAUCACUAAGUCAAAAUUUUAUAAUUUGUUUUAACCAACAUUAAUAGAAACAUAAUCAGUAUAGUAACUAAGUUAACAUUAUUUUAUCUAGAUACAAUCAUAUGGCUUCUAAAUGCCCAGACAACAACACAAUUAGCUAUGCUAAUGGCGUUAAUCUUUAGUACCUUAGCACCUAAAAUAAAUAUGGCCAGAGAAAGUGGAUUACCUUGCUUGAGACCUCUGGAGGAGCGAAAGAAACCAUAUCUCUUACCAUUGACAAUGAUUGAGUACCACCAACUAUUAGCCAUUAUUUUCCACACCAUAUCAAUAAUACCUCAACAAAUACCAUUUUCCUCACCACCCGGCAUUUAAUAUAUGACCAAAAGACCCUAUCAUAAGCUUUUGUCAUGUCUAGUUUAAUGAUGACAUUGCUACCAAUAUUGGAUUUGUUGAUUUGGUAAAGGAUUUACUGAGCAAGCAAGAUGUUCUUAGAAAUACUUCUACUUUUGAAAAACCCGGAUUGGUUAGCAGAGAGUUAAAGCAGGGAGGAUAGGGCUAAGUAUGUUGCACAUUAAUUUAGAAAUUAUCUUGCUAGUGAUGUUACUCCGACUUAUAAGCCUAUACUCCGUCAUCUUGUUAGGAUUAUUCCCUUUAGGGAGCAGCACAAUACAAGAAUGGGAGAAGUAUUUAGUAAUCAUCUGUCCACUGAAAAAGGCCUGUACAACUCCCAUUAGAUCAUUCAUGAUAAUAUGCCAACAUUUUUGAAAGACGAACCCAUUCAUUCCAUCAGGACCUACUGCAUAAUUAGGAUUCAUAGAGAAAACCACUUGUUUAAGUUCAUCCAUACUAGGAUCACUGGUAAGCUAAUUCUGGUCUUUAUUAAUAAUCCUUGGAAUGCAUUCCAAGGUAUGCUCAUUGUUAAGCUUUUCUUCACCAGUAAAAAUUUCUUUGAAGUGCUCAGAAGCUACCUGAGCAAUGUUGUCAUCACCUUGUAUCCAGUCUCAAUUUUCAUUGAGAACUUUAUAAAUAAAUAAGUUCCAUCUACUUCCCCUUAUCACAGAAUGGAAGUAUUUAGAGUUAGUAUCACCCUCCUUAAUCCAUUGAAGAUGUGUUUUUUUUACAAUUUGUGUUCCAUCUUUAGAAACUUGAUGUACUUUGCAUUAUUUUCAUGGAGGAUGCUUUUAUUUAAGUAACUUUGGUUAGUGAUGUAGUUUUUUUCUGCAAUGUGCACUUGUUCCUCAUACAUCCUAACCUUUUGUAAAAUAUGACCAAAUUCUUUCUUAGACCAACCACUAAGAGUUUUUGACAGCCUUUUCAUUUUUUGGUGAAAUCUCCACAUACCUGUACCUGCUACUUCCCUCUCCUAGCAGGUUUUUACUAUUUCCAUGAAUUGAGGAUUUUCCACCCAACAGUUGAGAUAUCUGAAAUACUUGAUGUGAUCAGUAGAUGUGGAAACCAUUUCCAUAAGAAGAGGUCAGUGAUCAAACCCAAUAGAUGACUAGUGAGUUAUAGUGGUUUGAGGCAUCUUUGUCAACCAAGAAUCAUUUACCAUAGCCCUGUCAAGCUUCUUCCAGAUUCUGUGAUUAAUACCUCUCUUGUUGGACAAAGUGAAUUUUUUACCACUAAAACCAAUGUCCAAAAAGCCACAGGCUUCAAUGACAGCAAUAAAAUCCAUACUUUUCCUUAUGUUAUAAGGCACCUCUCCGUGUUUUUCCUCCACAGAGGUUAUACAUUGAAAUAACCAACAACACACCAAGGUUUAUCAUUCAAAGUAGCUUGCUAAAUUAUUUUGUCCCAAAGAGUUCUUCAGAGGUGAUAUUUGCAUUUAGCAUAGACAAAGGUACUAGUGAAUUGAUAUUGUAAUUCAUUGUGUUUCAUGUUGCAAGUGAUUUGUUGUUCAUCUUCAUCAAGAAUAUUACAGUCAAUGUCACUGCUCCAGAAAACCCGAAUCUUACCAUUACAAUUACUAGUAGCAUAUUCCAUGCUUAAUUGAACCUUAAAGCUUUGAACGUGCACAUUAUCAGAGAAAGGUUCCAAAAUAGUGAUAAUAGAUAAAUGGUGCAGCUUCCUGAGCAUCUUGAGUCUCUCUAAUACUAUUUGAGUGUUGAUCCCUCUAACAUUCCAUAUGUUUGUACUAAUCAUUGGGAAGAUCUAGAGUAAAAGAAUCUAGUAUUAGGUAUUCCAGCAGUGACACUAUUAACAUCUUGUUUUUUGAAGUGGAAUUUGUCAUGUUGAAAACCCCUUGGAGAUAGCCCCUGACUUUGAGUUACUUGUUGGGUUUCAUUCUCUACUAUCUGAUUAUUAUGAGGAAUAUAAGCCUUAAUAAGGGCCUCACUAGUCUCAUCAUCAUCAUCAGGCUCUUCUAGAAAUUGAUUAUCCCCAUCAAGUUCAUCUUCAAAAUUAUCCACAACAUAUUCAUCCCAUGUAGGCAUUGUAUUAAAUUUACACUUUUGUUGUCUCAGAUCAUGAGUAUAUGCUCUUGGAGGAAUCAUAUACUGAGCCUGUAAGGGAAGAAUAUCCACCCCAUGGUUAGCAUUCACCAUGAUAAGUAUGUUACAUAAUUUUUCCCUUCUUUCCUGUUCCUGUCCACUGUCCCUGUCUUGCUACCUGUUCUGCCUCCUUUUUGCAGCACCUCUUUUUUUUGCUAAGCUUAUUCUUACUCUUAGUUGUGCUGCCAGGAGUAUGUGUAUCACUUUUUCCCCUUUAUAUUUAUCAUUCCUUUUUUCAGAUUGUUGUUCUCUUUAUUUUCCUUGGCAGUCUAUUUGUUGGUGUCUCUAUUCUGCACUGCUGCUGAAUUUGUUGUUGUUCCCCUUGUUGUUGUCUGUUCUUAGUUCUAUUAUAGGCUCUAUGGUAUGUUAUAGGUUGAAAAUCCAACCCCUCAUGCAUAACAUGAGGCAAAUUCCCCCCUUUGGUAGCCCUAUCCUGCAAAUUGUGGCUAUCUCCUGAUACCCCCCAUCCAUACCUCCAAAAACUUCUUCAGUAUAACAAGCAUCAUUAUUAAUAAUAUUGGGGGUUUCGGGACUUGGGAGGAUUUAGUUAAUACAUGUGCUCUUGUACUUGUUGGCUGUAGUAGCUUGUUGGUUUUGUACGUUAUGAAUGCUAAGGUUGUUCCUUACAGAUGAGCCCUUAGUAGUCCCAUUUUUUGGUUGGUGUGCCUGCUCUGCUUCUUGCCUGGACUUUCCUUCUCCUGUUUGAUUUACCUCCUGCUGUUCUGCAUAUCAAGGUUAGCAAAAAUAUUUUGAGUCUGAAAUUUAGUUAUACCUGUUGUUUCCUGCUGCUGUUGGUGGCUGCUACUGCUUCUUUGUUUUGGAGGUGAGACAGGUCUCCAAACUACCUUGGAGGUGAUUUGAUCUUGAUUUUUUUGUUGCCUCUUUUUUUGUGUACGCCAUUGUUCCUCUUGUUGAUUCCUUGAUUGAUUGUGAAUAGCAGCCUGCUUGAGUUCUUCCUUUUGACUUAUAUUAUGUUGAUUUUGAGUUCUUGCAAUGAACUUAGAGUUACUUGUGUCAUGUCCUUCAAUCUUGAACUAACCCCCCUAUUCUUGAUAUUCCUUGGAUUUUCUUUCAGUUUCCUGUUCCUUCUUUUUCUUGAUUUCUUCAUCCCUCCUCUUAAUUGUACACUCCUCUUCCAUAUGCCCCUGGUGCUUGCAGUACAUGCAGUUCAACUUUUAACCACCUUCCUUUAUUGGGGUUAGAGGUUUUGCAACCCAACCAAACAAAGGAAGGUCUAGUUUUGGUAAGAUCCACUUGAACUUUGACUCUAAGUGUGCUACCUCCAGUUCUUUGAGAGGAUGGUGAGUCUAAGAAUAACACCUUCACAAUUGAACUAAGAAUAGUUGUUAACAACACUUUCUUAUAGCAAUGCCAAGGCAAACCAGGGAUAGCAACCCAAAUUGGGACAAUGGAAGUCUCUUCUUAAGGGGUGAAAUCAGGAGUCCAUGUCUGUAUCCUCAUUACUUGGCCUUCAAUGUUCAUCCUAAGAUUUGUCCAAACAAAUCAAACUCAUUGUCAAGGUCAAUGUAAACAUUCCUAGAGUGUGUGUUUUUCAAACCCCUCUAUGAGUUGAGUUUGGAGUAUGAAACUUUUCCUAACUAACUCCAUUUUAGGCAUUGUAUUAGUAAAUUUGCCCACCAGUGUGUACUUACACACCUCAACCAACUUUACAUAGUAAUCAUCCUCCUCAAGAAGCACAGUCGGGAAUCAUUACCUAUGUGUAUGUAUAGGAUCAUUCAAAACUAUAGGCAUUUCAUUCAUAGCUUGGUUAUACCUUAAUCUUGCAGCAAAUGAUUGCACAAAAGUAAAAAAGAUGACUCAAAGAUUUUAUAAAGCUUAGAGAUAUUGCUAGAAUAUUUACUAUGCAGCUGAUUAUAUAUACGAGCGUUGACCUUCAUUAUUUCCUUGCUUAGUAAUUUUGUCAAUUUGAGUGACAGGCUUAUACAUUGUGUAGUUAUUGGAUAUCUUGGGGAACUUGCUUUGGUAAUCCAUUUGAGCUUGAUUGGUUGGAUUUGAUGGAUUAGUUCCACCUUGCACCUUAGCCUGUUCUUUUUGCCUUCCCUCUUUUCCUUGACUCUUUUCAGUGGCCUUUUUGGCUCCUUCAAACAUAUUUUGCGCAUUCUUCCCAAUCUGCACUUCCAUGUCUUAUUGUUUAAGUUUUUGACUUGAAGGCUCCUGGCAUUGUAGUUCAUUAUUAGCAGUUUCCCCACCUUCGUCAUUUUUGUUUGUUGUACCUUGUAAAUUACCUUUCGAACUCUAUUUUGAUCAUGGGGUUUUGGGUUAAUGGGUUAGGGUUAAUUUUAGGGUUAGGGUUAAGGAAUAAGUCUUAUUAGGUUUUUGGGUUUGUGGUUAAGGAUUUGAGGUUUAAAAUCUAUUGUUUAGUGUUUAAUGUUUGGAUUUUCGUAAUAUGGACUUAGGGUUUAGGGUUAAAGAUUUACGAUUAGGGUUAGAGUUAGGAUUAAGGUUAGAGUGUAAUUUUUUUUAGGUUUUAUGGUUCUUGUUUUAGCAAUUAAGGUUUAAAACAUAAAUUUUAGUACAUGAUGUUUGGGUUUUCGUAUUUUGGGCUUAUGGAUUUGGGUUUAAUUGCUUAGGAUUAGGGUGAGGGUUAGGGUUUUUUUGGUUUUUGGGUAUAGGGUUUAUUAUUGAGGUUUAACGUCAAUGGUUUAGUGUUUGAUGUUUUCGUUUUUGUAUUUUGGUCUUGGGUUUUAGGGUUUAUGGUAGGAUUAAGUUUAGGGUUAGUGUUUAGGUUUUUUUUAGGUAUUAGGGUUUGGGGUUAAGGAUUUGAGUUGUAAUAUCUAUGGUUUAGUGUUAAAUGUUAGGGUUUUGGUAUUUUGGACUUUUGGUUUAGGGUUUAGGGUUUAGGGAUUUGGGUUAGGGUUCGUGUUAGGGAUAGGGUUUAUGGGUUCUUGAGGUUUUAGGUUUUGAGGUUUAGGAUUUUUUGUUUCAAAUCUAUGGUUUAGUGUUUAAUGUUCAGAUUUUUGUAUUUUGGGCUUGGGGUUUUGGGUUAAUGGCUUAGGGUUAGGGUGUGGGUGUGGGUUCGCUUUUAAAUCUUUUUAAGGUUUUAGGGUUUAUGGUUUAGGAUAAGAAGUUGAAAAAUAUAUUGUUUAUUGUUUAAUUUUUGGGUUUUUGUAUUUUUGACUUAGUUUUUUUAACAUAGGUUUAGGGUUCACGUAUACAGUUAGGGUUAGGAUUAAGGAUAGGGUGUUGGUUUUUUUAGAUUUUAUGGUUCAGGGUUUAGCAUUUUGAGGUUUAAAAUCAAUGGUUAAUAUUUAAUAUUUGGGUUUUGUUAUUUUGGGUUUUUUUUUUGGGAUUAGGGUUUUAGUUUUAUGGUUUAGGGUUAGGGUUAGCAUUAAGGUUAGGGUUAUUGUUUAGGGUUAGGGUUAUCAUUAAGGUUAGUGUUAUUGUUAGGGUUAAUGUUUUGGGAUUUUUUACGUUUUUGGUUUAAGGGUGUAGGAUUUGAGGUUUAAUAUCAAUGGUUUAGUCUUUAAUGUUUGGAUUUUGGUAUUGUGAACUUGGGGUUUAGGAUUUAUGUUAGGGUUAGGGUUAAGGUUAGGGUAAGGGUUUAGGUUGUUUUUUAGGUUUUUAGGUUUGGGUUUAAGGAUUUGAGUUGUAAUAUUUAUUGUUUAGUGUUUAAUGUUAGGGUUUUGGUAUUUGGGCUUUGGGUUUAGGGUUUCAGAUUUAGGGUUAGGCUUAAGGAUAAAACUAGGUUAGGGUUUGUGUUAGGGAUAGGUUAAUGUUAUGCCUCGUAUUUUUUUUAUAUACGUAGUGCGCAUCGUGAUCUAGAAGACGUAAAGAAAUAUUAGGCAAGGAUGUUAUUUCCAAAUGUGAUAUUAAGUAUGAGUUGGCUAAUGUAAGUGCAAUUAAAUUUAAGUGAGGGAUUAAUUAGUGGCUAAUUUGGACUGAUUUAAUUCAAUGGGCCCCACCACUCGAGGCAAAAAAAUUAAAAAGGGAUCAGAUUGUGGGCUGGCCUUAGUGGACAGGUGUAGAGGGGGCUGCCUCCACUUCAUACUAUUAAAUGAGGUGGAGAAAUCCACUCCAUGCUAUAUAAAGUGCUGAAAUGCAUUGCUGCAUAUUAUCUUCUUCUUCACCACUUGUCUUAAGCAGCCAUGGAAAUGGAGAAACCAACCCUGCAACUCUUGGCCAGCAGCUGCAAAUAAUUUGGUUAGUAAUCUCCUUGUUUGGUGUGUUAAUUCUUUAGAAUACCCUUGUUAAUUAUCCAUUAAUUUUAAGAAGGGGGCGUGACCAGUAGCUUAGGAAGUUUGUUUUAGUUAUUGAAUGUACUAAGUAUGAAUGGAAACCAUAAUCGGAUUAUUAGUGGUGUCGUGUUGGUGCUUGGGCUGUUUUGAUUAAAGCAAACUGCAGGAAAAUUCUGUUUUGGCAUUAUGUAUAUGUUGAAUGUGAUUAUGAGUAUAUACUCCAAAGGAUGAAUAUGAUAAGGUAGAUGUGUUACGAAUUAUAAAACGAGUUAUCACUCGGUGUGUCGUUGCUUCGCUGAUAUAGUUGCCGACAUGGAACUGUUUUGGGGAGGAGGCUGUUUAAUAUGAUUCUUUGGGUUAUAUGUGUUAUUGGUAUUGCUGUGGAUAAUUUGGAUUGUUGUCGGAUUGGGACGAAGUAAGGAAAAUAGGGGAGGUGCUGCCGAAUUUUCGUUAGAUUAUUAGCUAGCUUACAAGAAAGUAAAGCACGAUGUUUAUAUAAUUGCGGCACGAUUGUUGCUUGUUAUAGAUUAAUAGCUUGAGCAGUAAAUAUUGGACGUGCGGCUCGAUUAUACGGUAUGUAACGUUGUCCCUUCUUUCUUUGCUUGGCAUGACUUUUAAAAAUAAGCGAAUAACGGACAGAUUUGACACUUACCUCUAAAGCGUCUAGGUGAUGUAUAUUCUUGCUUCCACAAUUAUUCCUCUAUAUAUCGGUUAUAUCUAAGGCUAUGAUGAUCUCUAAUAUCUAUGGUAAUGCUUCUUAGAGUCAUUGAAAUUUUACGUUUUCAUAUCGUAUUAAAGGUUCAUAAUCUUUAUAAAACAUUAAUCUUUGGUAAUACUCCUUGCUGGUUCACGUUGAUUGUUCUAUUGAGUUAUAAGAAAUGAUUUUAAUUGCAUAUGGUUGCUCAUAAUAUUCUGCUCGUGCAUAGAGUCAUUUAUCAUUUCACCGAGUCCCGGGCCGGGUAAUGUUCAUGCGGAGUUUCUUGCAUGUCACCGAGUUCAUCACUAGAGGGCCGGGUAUGUAUAUUAUAUAUAUGAUUGGUGAUGAGGAUGGUUUUGAUGAUGAUGAUGACGGAGAUGACGUGAUGAUUAUUUUGCCGAGCCCCUUACUAGGGAAGUUGGGCACCUUAAAUGUUAAAUAUAUGCAUGAUUUUCACUUAAAAAGUAUAUGUGUAGUGAUAUUUUGUUUCGAGUUGCCACAUUGGUAUCCUGUCAUCUUUACCUUAUGCUUUACAUACUCAGUACAUUGUCCGUACUGACCCCCCUUUCCUCGGGGGGCUGCGUUUCAUGCCCGCAGGUGUAGACGCACAGUUCGGUGAUCCUCUCGCCUAGGAUAUCUACUCUGCUGAUUGGGAGAGCUCCACUGUUCCGGAGCCCAGUCGUUUUGGUACAUAACUUUUGUGUAGUCUUUUGCUCAUCUAUGGGUAUGGCGGGGCCCUGUCCCGUCGAGUUUCACUAAUGUACUCUUAGAGGUCUGUGGACAUUAUGUGGGUUUUAUAUAUAUGUUUUGGAUAAUGGUCUGGACAUGGUUUGUUUGGGAUGUCCGCUUGUACAGGGGCAGCCUUGUCGGCUGCGUACAUCAUUAUGCUUUGAAUAGUGGCGGCCUUGUCGGCUCGCGUAUGCUGUUAUGGUUGAAUGGUUAUGACUCCUUAUGAGACAGGUCCUCUUAUAUAUAUAUAUGACGUUGGGGUUGGCUUGAUUUGAUUAAAUUCCAUAUUGUCUUAGUUCCAGUUGGUCAUACUUAGCAGGUUUGUAUGUGGGUGUCCAAAACGGGCACUAAUCACGACCUAUCGGGUUGGGUCGUGACAAAGACUGGUAUCAGAGCGGUUCUUCGUCGGAAGUGUCUACAGACCGUGUCUAGUAGAGUCUUGUUUAUCGGUGUGUUGUGCACCACAUCUAUAAACAGGAAGCUACAGGACAUUUAGGAUGUCAUUCUUUCUUCUUAUUCUAGAUCGUGCGAUAGAGCUAUAUUAACAGGAUAAUCCCUCUCUAACAAAUCCGUGUGUUUUCAGCUAUGCCUCCAAAGAAAACGACAGCCGCCCAGAAGGGAAAAUCGGUAGCAGAAGGUACUAGUCAGACCCGGAGAGUUACUAGGGCCCGUGCCCAGUCUAUGCCUGGUAUUAUGCUCCAGUCGGAGAGCUCUGCUACACCCCCACCGCCAGAAGAGCUUAGAGCAGCAGCAGCUCCAGUUCGGGGGACACCACCAGCCCCCGAGGCCCCAACAUCUGAACCUCCAGCUCCUCAGUCAGGGGCGGAGGAUAGGGCCAUGAGAGAUGUGGUUCAAUUGCUGACUAGAUUAGUGGAAGAUCAAGCUCGCAGGCAUGGACUAGGAGUUGAUCAUGCGGACAGAUCUGAUAGCUUAAGGGCUCGUUACUUCUUAAGUUGUAAUCCUCCAGAGUUCUUUGGGUCAAGGCCACAGGAUGAUCCGCAAGAGUUUAUUCGUCAGAUACAGCGUACAUUGAGGAUAAUCAAGGCUUCGGAGACCGAGUCUGUAGAGUUGGCUACGUAUCAUUUGCGGGAUGUAGCUAUUAAUUGGUAUGAGUCUUGGGAGUUAUCUAGGGGUGAGGGUGCCCCUCCAGCGGUAUGGGAUGAAUUUGUGGAGGCUUUCCAGGGCCACUUCCUGCCUCCAGAAAUGAAGCGAGCUAGAGUCGAUAUAUUCUUGCGUUUGAAGCAAAAUGGCAGGAGCGUUCGAGAGUAUAGCCUCGAGUUUGAUUCAUUGGCUAGGCAUGCGCCUACUAUUGUGGCUGAUAUGGCAGACAGGGUACAUCGUUAUGUGAUGGGAUUGGAUCGUUAUCUGAUUGACGGUUGUAUGGCAGUGACUCUUCAGCCAGGUAUGGACAUUGCUCGGGUGCAGGCAUAUGCACAGGGGGUAGAGGAUCGGCACCGGGGACGUCAGCCAGAUAGAGAUUAUAAUAGAGGCCAGCAUAAGAGGGCUAGAUCAGCAGGUUAUCCUGACGAGUUUCAAAGCGGGCAGUCUCAGCAGCAUGUUAGAUUUUCUUCCCAGCCAGCACAGAGUGCACCCCCACGUUUCAUGGGUAGGGGGUUCGAUCGUAUGGGAUAUUCGGAACCUGGUCAGAGCUCUAGGGCGUCAGGGUCACAAAUGGGCAGGGGUUUGAGCCAGUCGAGGCCACCUUUGCCUCGGUGUUCUCGUUGUGGUAAGUCCCAUCCUGGAGAAUGUCAUUGGGCUACAGGUGCGUGUUUUUCUUGCGGCCGUCAGGGCCAUACUAUGAGGGAGUGUCACCUUAGAGGUAGUGCAGGUGGUAUGGCACAGCCUACAGGGUCCGUUGCUGGUUCAUCUUCUUCUGUGGCUAUGCGCCCUACGGGGCAGGGUAUUCAGGCACCAGCAGGCCGUGGUAGAGGACGUGGUGGAGCUUCCAGUUCUAGCGGUCCCUCAAACCGUAUAUAUGCUUUGACUAAUAGGCAAGAUCAAGAGACGUCACCUAAUGUGAUCACAGGUAUAUUAUCACUAUUCUCCCGAAGUGUGUAUGCAUUGAUAGACCCAGGUUCCACCUUAUCAUAUAUAUCUCCCUUUGUUGCUAGUAGGAUCGGAAUAGAGUCUGAGUUGAUAGAACCAUUUGAGGUAGCUACACCUGUAGGAGAUUUUGUCAUAGCUACGCGAGUAUAUAGGAAUUGUUCAGUAGCUAUAUAUAGUCGUCAUACCGUAGCAGAUCUAAUAGAGUUAAAUAUGAUUGAGUUUGAUAUUAUCAUGGGCAUGGAUUGGUUGGCUGCUUGUUAUGCUAAUGUUGAUUGCAGAGGAAAGAUAGUUCAAUUUCAAUUUCCAGGGGAACCGAUUAUAGAGUGGAAGGGAAGUACAGUAUCGCCGAAAGGUAAGUUCAUUUCGUACCUCAAGGCCGGGAAGAUGGUUAGAAAAGGCUAUAUUUACCAUCUGAUUCGGGUGCAUGACAUAAAGGCAGAGGCACCGACUCUUCAAUCAAUCCCGGUAGUUAAUGAAUUUCUUGAUGUAUUCCCCGAGGAACUUCUAGGACUUCCUCCAGAACGGGAGGUAAAGUUUACUAUAGAUGUGCUGCCAGAUACCCAGCCUAUAUCUAUACCUCCUUAUAGAAUGGCACCUGCUGAGUUGAAAGAAUUGAAAGAGCAAUUAAGGGAUUUGCUAGAAAAGGGCUUCAUCAGGCCUAUUACGUCACCUUGGGGAGCACCAGUACUGUUUGUGAGGAAGAAGGAUGGGUCGCUGCGGAUGUGCAUUAAUUAUAGGCAGUUGAACAAAGUUACAAUAAAGAACAGGUAUCCCCUCCCAAGGAUUGACGAUCUGUUUGACCAGUUGCAGGGUGCAAAGUGUUUUUCAAAGAUAGACUUGCGGUCAGGUUAUCAUCAGGUGCGGGUAAGGGAGGCAGAUAUUCCAAAGACAGCAUUCCGGACCCGAUAUGGGCAUUAUGAGUUUAGAGUGCUGUCUUUUGGGCUGACUAAUGCUCCAGCGGUGUUCAUGGAUUUAAUGAAUCGAGUAUUUAAACCAUUCCUUGAUAUGUUUGUUAUUGUAUUUAUAGACGAUAUUCUGGUCUAUUCACGUUCAGAAGAGGAGCAUGCAGAUCAUUUAAGGACGGUACUUAGGGUGCUUCAGCACCAGAAGUUGUAUGCUAAAUUUUCUAAGUGCGAGUUCUGGUUGACUUCAGUGGCAUUCUUGGGGCAUAUUAUUGGAGCUGAUGGUAUUCGGGUAGAUACGCAGAAGAUUGAGGCAGUAAAAACAUGGCCCAGACCUACGACACCUACUGAGGUACGAAGUUUUUUGGGGUUAGAAGGAUAUUACAGGAGAUUCGUAGAAUAGUUUGCCUCAAUUUCAGUGCCUUUGACAAGGCUAACUCAAAAUGCAGCCAAGUUCCAGUGGACAGAUGCUUGUGAGCGAAGCUUCCAGCUAUUGAAAGACAAAUUGACUACAGCUCCAGUCCUAACUCUUCAGAGGGACCAGACGGCUAUGUUAUUUAUUGUGAUGCUUCGGGUGUUGGGCUAGGAUGUGUAUUGAUGCAGCAUGGCAAAGUUAUAGCCUAUGCCUCCCGACAACUUAGGAAGCAUGAAAAGAACUAUCCUACUCACGAUCUGGAGUUAGCGGUCGUGGUUCAUGCCUUGAAGAUAUGGAGACAUUAUUUAUAUGGUGUCCAUGUGGACAUCUAUACAGAUCAUAAGAGUCUCCAAUAUAUCUUUAAACAGAAGGAGCUGAACUUACGACAGAGGCGGUGGUUAGAGUUGCUAAAGGAUUAUGAUGUUGAUAUUUUAUAUCAUUCAGGGAAAGCGAAUGUUGUAGCAGAUACUCUUAGCCGUAAGUCCAUGGGUAGCUUGACAGAUGUACAACCAGAAAGGAGGGAUAUGGUUCGGGAGAUUCAGCGGCUAUCCAGCCUUGGAGUCGUCUAGCUAAUUUGGAAGAUUGUGGAGUUUCUAUUCGAGAGGUUGCUGAGUCCUCAAUCAUAGAUGAGGUAAAGAGACACCAAUACAAGGACCCUAUUCUGGCACAGUAUAGAGAUGCAGCUCUUCAAAAGGAAAAGACCCCAUUUAAGGUUACACCUGAUGGAGUGUUACGAUAUGAAGGCAGAUUGUGUGUACCCGAUACUGCGGGGCUACGAUGGCAAGUUAUGGGAGAGGCACACUCUGCCCGUUAUUCUAUUCACCCAGGGUCAACAAAAAUGUAUCAUGACCUCAGAUGCAUAUAUUGGUGGGAUGGCAUGAAAAAGGACAUAGCAGAGUUUGUUGCUCAGUGCCCAAAUUGUCAACAAGUCAAGAUCGAACAUCAAAAGCCUGGUGGAUUAUUACAGGAGAUAGAGAUCCCGACUUGAAAAUGGGAGAUGAUUAAUAUGGACUUCAUUACAGGCUUACCUCGCACUCAACGGAAGUAUGACUCUAUAUGGGUUAUUGUAGAUAGGCUGACGAAAUCGGCCCAUUUUCUUCCAGUCAGGACUACUUAUUCGGCUGAAGAUUAUGCGAGGUUAUAUGUCAGGGAGAUAGUGAGACUUCAUGGGGUUCCCACGUCCAUUAUAUCAGACAGAGGAGCUCAAUUUGCAGCCAACUUUUGGAGAUCGUUUCAGAAGGGAUUGGGGACACAGGUGAACCUUAGCACAGCAUUUCACCCUCAGACUGAUGGGCAGGCUGAGCGUACUAUUCAGACACUAGAAGAUAUGUUGCGGGCCUAUAUUAUUUACUUCAAAGGUAGCUGGGAUGACCACUUGCAGCUCAUUGAGUUUGCCUAUAAUAAUAGCUACCAUUCUAGUAUCCAAAUGACACCGUACGAGGCCUUAUAUGGGAGGAAGUGCAGAUCACCUAUUGGUUGGUUUGAUGUUGGCGAGACUAAGUUAAUAGGCCCGGAUGUGAUUCAGCAAGCUGUUGACAAGGUGAAGCUUAUUCAAGAAAGAUUAUUAGCAGCCCAGAGUCGACAGAAGUCA